UAAGGAGCUCGUCGCCUCCCCGCAACCCUAGGGCUCCCGUUUUCCCCUUCUCCUCCCUCUCGCGCCGUCAGGGAAGGGCCUCCGACGCGGACGCCAUGGGAGGUCCUCAGUGAGCUCGAGCAGCAGCAGUUCGCGGACUCCUCCGCUCCUUCGAUAGCACUAGGUGGACGCGGUGGCCGAGGAGAUCCCGUUCCCAUAGCAACCUGAUGGCUUCUUCCUCGACGUCCACGUUGUCUUCUUCCUCCCCUGCUGUCGGCGAACUCCUCUGCUUCGGAUCGACGCCCUCCUUCCUCUCCUGCACCGGUUCAUCAUCUAGGUUCUAGGUGAGCGUUCCCCGCUUCUUCCCCCUCUCUGGUAGCACGAGUAGGUGAACAAAGCGACGACUGUCCAGAGUAGUGCGUAGGAGCUCGAGCAGCAGCACCACCGUAGCUAGGUGGUCGUAGAUCCGGCGUAGCAGUGCUUCUAUCGGAGAGAUUAGGCCGGGAAUGGAAUCCAUGUGGUUCCUACUUCCCCCCCCNNNNNNNNNNNNNNNNNNNNNNNNNNNNNNNNNNNNNNNNNNNNNNNNNNNNNNNNNNNNNNNNNNNNNNNNNNNNNNNNNNNNNNNNNNNNNNNNNNNNCUGAACACCUACUUACGUCAAACAUAACCCCACCAUGUUCCCCAUCGAAGAGAGGUCUUCGAAGGAGACAGUCACGGUUACGCACACAGUUGGCAGUUUUAUUAGAGUUAGUUCAAGUUAUCAGGACCGGAUGUUAACAAAUUAUCCAUGCUUGCCACAUAACCGCAGGCACGACUUUCCGAAAGAUUAAACCCUGCAGGGGUGCUCCAACUAGUCCAUCAAAACGGUCACGAGCCGCAAAGUAAUCCUCUAUCACGAAUCUCGUGAUCUCGUCGGAUUCCUUAGAGGAAAACCUCAACUUUGAGGAGACCCAAAGUUUCAUCGGGAUUCCUAUACGCAAGAUAUAUCGCUAAGGUAAGACAAAUCUAGCAGGACCUCCCGACGUNNNNNNNNNNGGGAGACCGAAAGUUUCACCUGGAUUCCUAUACCCAAGAUAUAUCGCUAAGGUAAGACAAAUCUAGCAGGACCUCCCGACGUGUCGACGACCCCGAUAAGAGCCGCGUAUCUCAGUCUCAGGACACGCCGGAUAAGCGAAGCGUACGGUGGCCUGAUAGAAAUCUCCUGAGUUGCCCCGGGUUGGCCCCGCACGGUGCUCUGGUUUGGACCAACACUCAUGAGGAGCACUGGCCCGGGUUGUUGAUUAAAUCCUCGGGGUAGCUAUUCCCUAUGCAAAUUAUUAUUAGGUGAUUAGCAAAUUAAAACCAAUGUUGGGUCCUACCGGACAAGCCUUAACACUACACGAUUUAUCAAGGGGGACCCCAUAACAACCCCGAACGUGUUAGGAGCGAUCAGUUAUGGAAUCAANNNNNNNNNNAAUAAGAGCCGCGUAUCUCAGUCUCAGGACAUGCCGGAUAAGCGAAGCGUACGGUGGCCUGAUAGAAAUCUCCUCAGUUGCCCCGGGUUGGCCCCGCACGAUGCUCUGGUUUGGACCAACACUCAUGAGGAGCAUUGGCCCGGGUUGUUGAAUAAAUCCUCGGGGUAACUAUUCCCUAUGCAAAUUAUUAGUAGGUGAUUAUAAAAUUAAAACCAAUGUUGGGUCCUGCCGGACAAGCCUUAACACUACACGAUUUAUCAAGGGGGUCCCCAUAACAACCCCGAACGUGUUAGGAGCGAUCAGUUAUGGAAUCAAACACCGGUAGCCGAAACUAAGGUGGCAACAACGGAACAAGUCACCUGGCAAAAGGCUAGGCCUUCCGUCAUUUACCAAGUAUAUAGGUGCAUUAAUUAAAUAGAAGAUUAAUCAUAAUGAUAUCAAAAUACUCAUGUUAUCACAUGAGACAGCUGGCACCUGCAACUAACAAAACUAAUCAUUAGAAGUUGAGCAAGCCUACUUAGCCAAACAUUAGCUAGGAGGGGAAGGUGUUUUGGGUUUCAUGGCAUUAACAAGAGGCAUUUUAACAAGUGGUAGGCAGUGAGCAUAUAUCGAAGGAAACGUGAUUCUAAGCAUAACAAAGCUAGAUAUGGUAUCAAGGUCACGGUCAUCUUGCGUGUGAUGUCUUUAGCUUGGAACUGCUCUUGAUCGUCCUGCACGUACUCUCCAGAAUCCACGUACUCGCUCUCUGAUCCCGGUGCUACCCAAGAUAAAAAAACAGCCAAUGUACUCCAACACAACAUGAUGCAACAAAUAAUGUGAUGCAUGAGAUGAGAAGGAAGCAUGCCUCACUAUUCUAGUCACUUGCAUAUACAUGAGAUGAGAAGAUAAACUUCUGGACAGAACUUCACACUAAGCUAUCUUGACAUGCAUGAGGAUGGCAUGAAGAGGUGCAUCACGAGAAAACGAUGCAAAAACAUAUAAAGAACGUUGAGAACGGAGCUACGGAUCAACCGGAAACUACGAAACAAGAUAUGGAGUCCUACGGGUGAAAUCAAACACAAGAACACUCCAAUGGCACUCUUCUGGUGUUCCCAGGUUGCCACAUGAUCAAACAAACAAAUAUAAGUGGAGUGGUGCAAAGAAACUCACCACACCACCAACAAUACUCACACAAGCUUCAAAACAACUAAAACAUGCAAUCUGACCUAAACAACAUCAUAGCAGUUUGCCUACAACAUUCAAAGUACCUACAGCCACCUAAAUGAGCCAAACAAGAUAUGUGGCAAAAGACAUUCAAAAGCUCUACAAGCCUGAGCAAUAAGCUACUGAAAAGGCAUCACACGUAAGAAGAUCUAUGGACACAAACUUGGACAAAAAUAAUAGAUUUCUCGGACUUAGUGAAAAUCUCAGAUUUUCACUAGCUGCUUAUGCUCUGAAGCAUUUUGGCAGCCUCCAAAAUGAUAUCUACAGGAAGUGAAAGUGCAUGAAAUUUAACGGAGGGCUAGACAAACCCAAAAUCUCACAAACCUUAGUUUGUUGCAUGGGUUGAUUCCCAAUACAUGAGCUUGUGCAACCACAUCAACAAGGGAAGAAAAUAACAGCAGUUUCUCAGAUUUUCACAAAGCUGACAAUUUCAGCCAAGUGUCAACUUUGACAANNNNNNNNNNNNNNNNNNNNNNNNNNNNNNNNNNNNNNNNNNNNNNNNNNNNNNNNNNNNNNNNNNNNNNNNNNNNNNNNNNNNNNNNNNNNNNNNNNNNGGCAUAAGAACCUUGGUUUGCUCAUGAAUAUUAUAUACUUAGCUUGUUUUCCUCUAAAAUGACAUAAUUAGCCCAUUUAGCUCCAAAAUGGCCUAUUUAAUAAAACAAUGACCUAUACUUACCUAAGUUCUCUUCUAAAUGACAUAAUAAGGCUAUGUAGCUCCAAGAUGACCUAUUCCACCUAACUUAGCUAUUAAAUGGCCUAUAAUUAGCUUAGCUAGCUCGCAAAUGGCUUAAUAAUCAUAGUUGGCUCCAAAAUGACAUAUUUUACCCAAGUUAGCUCUAGAAUGGCCUAUACUUUGCUUGGCUUCCACCUAAAUGACAUAAUUAGCUUAAUUAGCUCCAAAAUGGCCUAUUUAAUAAAAAAUGACCAAUACUUACCUAAGUUCUCUUCUAAAUGACAUAAUAAGGCUAUGUAGCUCCAAUAUGACCUAUUGCACCUAACUUAGCUAUUAAAGGCGUGUUCAGAGUCCCUCCACUCCACCACUCCGCUCCAGGAGCGGGUGGAGCUGAAGUUCAAAACUGUGGAGCGGGUCAAUAGACACUCCGUGGAUCCUUGAAUUCGAGGGAGCCGGUUGAUUGCCGAACAACCCCUAAAUGGCCUAUAAUUAGCUUAGCUAGCUCCAAAAUGGCUUACUAAUCAUAGUUGGCUCCAAAAUGACAUAUUUUAUCCAAGUUAGCUCUAGAAUGGCCUAUACUUAGCUAAGUUCUCUCCUAAAUGACAUAAUAAGUCUAUGUAGCUCCAAGAUGACCUAUUCCACCUAACUUAGAUAUUAAAUGGCCUAUAAUUAGCUUAGCUAGCUCCAAAAUGGAUUAAUAAGCAUAGUUGGCUCCAAAAUGACAUAUUUUUUCCCAAGUAGCUCCAAAAUGACAUAUACUUAGCUAAGUUCUCUCCUAAUGACAUAAUAAGGCUAUGCAGCUCCAAGAUGACUUAUUCCCCCUAACUUAGCUAAGUUCUCUCUGAAAUGACCUAUACUUUUCUUCUUCAUCUAGUCUUCUUCUUCUAACUUUUUAUUUGCCAUUUUGUAGAUUACAUUCACUUCACGGGAAGCUUGGAUUAUAUUGAUGGAGUGCUUGAAUAUGGUUGAUUCUACCAUGGCUUCACGGAAGCUUGGAUUGAAACUAUUGUAGUAUAUGGAUAUAUAUGUAACUUUGAAUGCAUGGAUGAAACUAUUGUAAUAUAUGGUUUGGUACGGAUGCAACUUGCAUAAUAUGUAUGUAUUAUGGAUGAAAGUUAUUUUAAUAUGGUUAUGAGUAUGGAAACAAAAUUAUUUCUGUCAAAUAUAUAUAUAUCCUGAUUAUUGUGAAAAUUAUUCCUGAUUUGUGUGAAAAUUGCUGGAUAUUAUAGAAAAUAAAAUAAACAGGGUUUGUUUUGAGCCUUUGUCGUCCGCCCACCAAUGGCAAAGGGCAUGCAGCAGAGGGAAAAGGCUCAAACAUGCGUGGGAUGAAACAUGCUGGGGUGCCCCUUUGCCGUUGGCCUGAGACAUGGCUGACGACAAAAGAGGAGGGCAGACGACAAAGGUGAGGGAGAGAGGGGCUGGGUGCCCCCCUUUGCCGUCGGCCUCAAACAUGGCUGACGACAAAGGGGGGGGGGUAGGGAAGACGACAAAGGUGGGGUAGGGCAGAUGACAAAGGGGGGGUAGGCCUAGCAGGCUGCCGUUAGCACUUAACGGGAGCGAUUGCGAAUCUGCCAUCCCAUUUUGUUUGCCAUUAGCCCCACCAUGGCAAAGAUUCUUUGUAGUCCGCCUUCCAAAGGCACACGACAAAGAACCUCUUUGCCGGAUAAAUCUUUGCCGUCUAGUUUGCCGUCCGGGGCGCCCCCCUUUGCCGUCUGCCCUGCCGGACGACAAAGUUUCUAAUCCCUGUAGUGCACAUAGCUACUGUAGAAGAUCUCAGCCCCGAGGAGGAACUACUCCCGCUUCAUGGAGGGAGGAAGCAACAUCGACGGAGAUGAAUCCCGGGGCACUUCCCUGUCCCGGCAGGGUGCCGGCACAGGAAUUCUGGUCCCCCGAAACUUGUUGACGAUGGCGGCGGAUAUUGGAAUUGCUUUUGGCGAAAAGGGUUCCAGAAUCAGCAUUUCCUCCACGGGGGUAAAAGUAGGAGCCGAGGUAGGGUUCCAGAGGAGGUGGGCCCCACCCAAGCGGCCUGUGGGCGCGACCAGGGGGUAGGCCGUGCAGGGAGGCCGCCUGGGCGACGCCUGGCUCCCCUCUAGCGAACCUUUGGUGCUCUCGAAGCUUCUGUCACGCUGAUUUUUAUAUAUUUUUCUUGGGAUUUUUGGGACUCGGUAAAUUGGGGUAAAAGUCCGUGCAAAAAAAGACAUCAGCAGACAAAAACUAGCACUAGGUGCACUGAGUUACUAGGUUUGUCCAAAUAUGUGUCAAAAGGUAUGAAAGUGUACAAAACACAUAGCAAUAUCACCCAAAACUUGCAUGGAGCAAGCAGAAAUUAUAGAUACGCUUGGGACGUAUCAACAUCCCCAAGCUUAAUUCCUACUCGUCCUCGAGUAGGUAAAUGAUAACAAGCAUAAUUUAUGUGGUGACAUGCUAACACACAUAUAAGAACUUCAAAGUAAAGCAAGCAAGAUAUGAAAUUCAAGUCAAGACAAUAACAAGCAAGAGUCUAUAUCUAGUAUUGAAACUAGCAAAGUAAGAACAUAAAGGUGCAAGAGCUCUCGCUGUCCGUGACUCGAAUGUCUCCAAAUGGUGUUUGCGUGCAAGAAGCGGGAGAUAGGUUUAGAGCAUAAAAAUAGUAUUUAAUUGAGAACUCAAUCUACUAAAACUUUACACUUGGUCUCCUUCAGAAUCUUAUUUUGACUCAUCGCCAGACCACUAGUCAGGCACAAGUCAAAAUGAUCCUCUCCCUUUCGACUUUGAGCACUCAUACAAUGGAUGAGCGCAAUCAAGAUAUGUUGGCACUUAGGAUGGAAAAUAGAAUAAUGAUGGGGAAGGACGACAAAUAGGUGUGAAAGGCUCACAUCAAUGAGGACAACCAUAGGCGAGAGAAGGCCAAAUGAUAGAUAUGAUGUGAGGAGUAGGGAUUGCCAUGCAACGGAUGCAUGAAUGAUAAUCUCUAUGUAGUACAAAUAUAACAAUGGAGUACGAGUGUGGAUCUUUCAAAAGGAAUAGUAGUGUUGCCCCCUUCUCUCUUUUUAUUUCUUUUUCUUUUUUUCUUUUUUUGUGUGGCCUCUUUGGUGCUUUAUAUAAUUCUCUCAUUUGUCGUCUUUGGGAUCUUUUCAUUUGUCCUCUUUGGGAUCUUUUCCUCACUUAAGGGCAACACUCUAUGUUUUACAAGAAUAAAAAGAAGAUCAUCACACUUUAUAAGAAGUACUCAACAUAAAGACAAAUGAAAACUAUCAUGAUGUAUGCAAAUGUAUGCCUCUACCAGUGUAGGAGGAUAUGCAAUGAUACUAGCACGUCAUGCAGCAAUAAUAAGGACAAGGACCAACUAGCAUGCGGCUCCUCGAUCAAGCAAAAGCAUGUAUGACAUGAAGAUCAAGUCAUGAGAUGGUGGAUGUUGCAUGGCAAUGUAUCUCGGAAAGGCUAUGGAAAUGCCUUAAUAGGUAGGUAUGGUGGCUAUUUUGAGGAAAGAUAUAAUGAGGCUUAUGAUGACAGAGUUUAUCAUGUCAAGGGUUUGGAUGAACCGGCGAAGUUUGCACCAACUCUCAAGAUGAGAAAGGGAAAUGCAUGGUACCGAAGAGGCUAGGGAUGGUGGAAGUUGNNNNNNNNNNNNNNNNNNNNNNNNNNNNNNNNNNNNNNNNNNNNNNNNNNNNNNNNNNNNNNNNNNNNNNNNNNNNNNNNNNNNNNNNNNNNNNNNNNNNCUUGAAACCCAAAGUAGUAAUUUCAUCACUACUCAAAGUUUUGAUAUCCUCUACUCCGCUUUCAAUGCUUCUAGCAUCAAGGUAGAUAGACUCCGAAUCAUUGGGGCGUUUUCCAACCAAAGUGGAUUCAUAUCCAGCCCCAUCAUCAUUAGGUUUAACAUUAGAAAACAAGGAUUCAAUGGGAGUCACACCAAGCACUUUAAGAUCUUUGUGAUUCUCAUCAUGAGAACACACCUUUUCAAGCCAUUCAUGUCUAGCACGAAUUUGGGCGGUUCUUUCUUUACUCUCAUUCAUGAAACACGCAUAGCUUUGAAAGUUUCAUCCAUAUUAAUCUUGGGAGGAGCACAUCUCAAUUUCAAAGCAUCAAUAUCAAGAGACAUUAUAUCAACGGUCCUAGCCAAGUCAUCAAUUUUGAGCAGUUUUUCUUCUAUGGACGCAUUGAAAAUCUUUUGCGAGUUGAUAAUCUCUUUAAUAUUACUCUCAAGAUCAUAGGUUAAUUUAUUGUAAUUUCCAUGAGCAUUGUUGUAGGAAUUGCCAAAGUUAUUAGAAGGAUUACUAGGAAAAGGCCUAGGAAUAAAGUUACCUCUAUAAGCAUUGUUGUUGCCAAAAUCAUUCCUACCAACAAAAUUAACAUCCAAGCUCUCAUUGCUAUUCUCAAUCAAGGAAGACAAAGGUAUAUCAUUUGGAUCUAGACGAGCACCUUUACUAGCAAACAAUUUCAUUAACUCAUCCAUCUUAGAACUCAAAGAGUUAAUUUCUUCUAUAUCACGCAUUUUUUUACUAGUAGGUGACCUUUCAGUGUGCCAUUGAGAAUAGUUUGUCAUGAUAUUGUCUAGGAGUUUUGUGGCUUCUCCUAAUGUGAUUUCCAUGAAGGUUCCACCGGAGGCGGAAUCCAAGAUAUUUCUAGAAGCAAAAUUCAAACCAGCAUAGAAGAUUUUUAUAAUCAUCCAAAGACUCAAGCCAUGAGCGGGACAAUUUCUAAUCAUCAAUUUCAUCCUCUCCCAAGAUUGUGCAACAUGUUUAUGAUCUAGUUGCUUAAAAUUCAUGAUAUCAUUAUGGAGAGAGAUAAUCUUAGCCGGUGGAAAAUACUUGGAUAUAUAAGCAUCUUUACACUUGUUCCAAGAAUCAAUGCUAUUUUUGGGUAAAGAUGAAAACCAAAUUUUUGCUCGAUCUCGUAAUGAGAACGGAAAUAACUUCAAUUUAAUCACAUAAUUAUCCACAUCUUUCUUCUUUAGUGGCAGGAGCAAUCGGAGUACUAAUAAAAUCAUUAUUAUUAGUAUUCGAGAAGUCACACAAUUUGGUGUUUUCAGUCAUGGUGACUUCAGCAAGCAGACAAGCACACAAGCGAACAGAAAGCAAGCGAAAGAAAAGGCGAACGAAAAAGGCAAAUAUUUUUGUAUUUUUUUUUCAGAAGUGGGGGAGAGGAAAACGAGAGGCAAAAGGCAAAAAAGUAAAUGCAAGAGAUGAGUUUGUGAUAGUUACUUGGAUGAGCUUCACUUAGAAUAAUCCCCGGUGCCAGAAAUUGACAUGUUGAAGGGAGACUAUUCUUGACUUGAUACUCCCCGGCAACGGCGCCAGAAGUUCUUCUUGCUACCUCUUGAGCUUGCGUUGGUUUUUUCCCUUGAAGAGGAAAGGUUAUGCAUCACAGUAGCAGUAAGUAUUUCCCUCAGUUUGAGAACCAAGGUAUCAAUCCAGUAGGAGUAUCAAGACAAGUCACCAAUGUACCUGCGCAAAAACAAACAAACUUGCACCCAACGCUAUAAAGGGGUUGUCAAUCCCUUCACGAUUAAUUGCAAGGUGAGAUCUGAAGGUGGAAAGUGCAACAAAGUAAAAGUGUAGAGCUGAAAUUAUGAUGUGAACUAGACCCGGGGGCCAUAGUGUUCACUAGAGGCUUCUCUCAUGAUAGCAAGUAUUACGGUGGGUGAACGAAUUACUGUCGAGCAAUUGAUAGAACCGCGCAAAGUCAUGACAAUAUCUAAGGCAAUGAUCAUACAUAUAGGCAUCACGUCUGAGACAAGUAGACCGAUACUGUCUGCAUCUACUACUAUUACUCCACACAUCAACCGCUAUCCAGCAUGCAUCUAGUGUAUUGAGUUCAUAACGAACAGAGUAACGCCUUAAGCAAGAUGACAUGAUGUAGAGGGAUAAAUUCAUGCAAUAGUUAUAAACCCCAUAUUUUUACCCUUGAUGGCAACAACAUGAUGUGUGCCUCGCUACCCCUUCUGUCAAUGGGUGAGGACACCGCACGGUAUGAACCCAAAACCAAGCACUUCUCCCAUUGCAAGAAUUAUAGAUCAAGUUGGCCAAACGAAACCCACAACUCGAAGAGAAUUACAAGGAUACGAAAUCAUGCAUAUAAGAGAUGAGAGGAAACUCAAAUAAUAUUCAUAGAUAAUCUGAUCAUAAAUCCACAAUUCAUCGGAUCUCGACAAACACACCGCAACAGAAGGUUACACCGGAUAGAUCUCCAUGAAGAUCAUGGAGAACUUUGUAUUGAAGAUCCAAGAGAGAGAAGAAGCCAUCUAGCUACUAGCUAUGGACCCGAAGGUCUGCGGUGAACUACUCACGCAUCAUUGGAGAGGCAAUGGUGUUGAUGAAGAAGCCCUCCAUGUCUGAAUCCCCCCUCGGCAGGGCACCAGAACGUGCCCCAGAUGGGAUCUUGCGGAGAGAGAAGCUUGCGGCUGCAGGAAAAGUAUUUUCGUGGCUCUCUCUGGCAGUUUUGGAUUUUUAGGGAAUUUAUAGGCGGAAGAAGUAGGGCAAAGGAGCCAUGGGGGGCCCACAAGCCUGGUAGGCGCCCCCCAGGCCAUGGCUAGGGGGCUUGUCGCCUCCCCUAGAAUCCUUUGCCUUGGUUCUCAAGUUCCUUGCGUAUCUUGUGUUACGGAAAAAAUCUUUCCGAAGGUUUUAUUCCGUUUGGGUUCCGUUUAAUAUUCUUCUGUGAAAAGGGUCAAAACCAUGGAAAAAACAGGAACUGGCACUUGGCACUGAGUUAAUAGGUUAGUCCCAAAAAAGAUAUAAGAUAGCAUAAUCAUGCAAACAAAACAUCCAAAGUUGACAAGAUAAUAGCAUGGAACCAUAAACAAUUAUAGAUAUGUUGGAGACGUAUCAGGGGGUUUAGGUGUGUCCACAGCCCUCCCAACCCUCCUUUAUUUAUAGGAGGAAGGGUUGAGGGGGUCGUACACCCUAAUAAACCCUAGGAGGGGGCGGCGGCGGCCCUAGGGGUGGCUUGCCUCCCAAGUUGGACCACUACAAGGAAUAUGCUAAUACACGACGCUAUUUUUUCGUCGCUACAUCAUCACGGUUUUUAAUUUACGACGAUCUCACGACGAAAAACCAAGCGUCGAAAACGGAGCGUCACAAAUGGACAACAGCGAUGUUUUGAUCAAAAUCGUCGUAACCUUUACGACAAUUCCUGGAUUGUCGUAACCUUUACGACGAUCCUAAAUCGUCGUUGGCAAUCAAACCCAGUCCUACGUGGCAGUCCUAGGUGGCAAAAUUACGACGAAAUCAAAACGUCAUGGUUGAAAUCAGCCCAACCCAUUUCAAUUGAUCACAUGGGCUGGUUUUUUUGGGGGCUUUUUCUUAUUGGGCCUUAGCCUAUUUACAGCCACUUUAGUAAUCAUUUUUGGGCCCUAGCCUUUUAGUGUCCAAAUACAUUUGAUCCAAUUUCAGUUUUGGCCUUUUUUUCAUUUUUAAAUUCAGCAACUUUUUUUAUUUUAUGUUGUUAAUGAAUCUAUGAAUAACAGCCCAGUCAUGUGAAUUUUCAGAAAACAUUUUGACAGCAUAAUGCGUUGAAAGAAUCCAAACCAACAAGAAUGAUGCAAUGUUGUUGUUCAUUUCAAAACUGAUUCGUGCACUCCAAGUGCAAGUGAGUCAAUACAUUCACUAGAUUAAACUUUCCAUGUCACCAUCCUACCACAACAUUUCCACAACACCCCAAACUAAAAAAAUUACUCGCUCAUGGAUGAAUUUAACAGCCACUACUACUCGCUGCUGGCCCUUCCUUGCUUGUCUUGUCAUUCUUCCACAACGCAGGCAUCGACUCGCCAAGACAGGCCUUCCUUCCUUCCGUGCAUUGAAUACAAAAGGAGCUCAGAUAUAGCACCCAGUAGAACGCCAAGCCAUCAUCAGACACUUCACACCAUACGUCUUUAUCAAACACUUCACACCAUACGACACCCAGUCGUCCAACUACAACCAAGUGGCACUACAAGCUCCAUCCAUCGGGUCUUCUCGCCUUUGCAAUAUCAAACUUUCUGAUGACCUGGGCAGGGAGACACACACACACAUAGAGAUAACAAGAUUAACCGGUGGCCUCAAGAACCCAUAAAGGACAAACAAGCCAUAGAGCCAAAGCAACAUAAAUUUGUAGAACAACAAAAAGAACAAUAUGUGUUGCAUGUAUUUUAUACCAGGAAAAGGAACAACAGCCUAAAAGCCUACAUAUGCACUACAUUGGCUGAUAGCCGCACAACAAAAAAAUUAUCAAGCUGCAACUAUGAUACUCUCUUGGUUGCAACUAGCCUGGCCAGUGUCGGAUCACGUUGGGACAGUGUCUAACCAUUUUGUUACUUUGUGCAAGUGGCACUACAGAAAAAAUAUAUUAUAAGUUGGGGUGUAUCUAAAUGUAAGCCAGUCCUCAUACUUGUAAGCCCGGUAUGAAAGGAAGAAACCACAUUAAACAAAGUGACCUACUUGAUUUUCUUAUAGGUUGCUUGCAUGGAAUUUUCGUGUGAAAAAUCACAGCGAAAUACAUAUGCACGAAUCUCGUCAUUGUGUGUAACCGUGAACCUUUUUUUAAUUACAAUAAAGGGGCCGUAUGCAUCGUGCUGAUGCAGAGGCCGGAGGUAACCCUCUUUUUCUAAAAAAAAACUACAUUCAGAUCAACAUGCAUGCAUGCACGGUGAAAUGCAAAUAUAAACUCAGGUAUUUGUUCUGCUGAAGAAUCGAGCAAGACAAGUUCUCCAACAAAAAAACAAGUUCAACUAAGAGUGUCGUGGGUAUAAGCCUGACAGUAGAUGUGUAGGGUACGAAAGGAUGGGCAGAGCCUUAGCUACGACGAGGUUGUAUGAGUUCAGGCCCCUCUGCGGUGGAGGUAAUAGCCCUACGUCUCAGUGCUCUGGGAGNNNNNNNNNNNNNNNNNNNNNNNNNNNNNNNNNNNNNNNNNNNNNNNNNNNNNNNNNNNNNNNNNNNNNNNNNNNNNNNNNNNNNNNNNNNNNNNNNNNNNNNNNNNNNNNNNNNNNNNNNNNNNNNNNNNNNNNNNNNNNNNNNNNNNNNNNNNNNNNNNNNNNNNNNNNNNNNNNNNNNNNNNNNNNNNNNNNNNNNNNNNNNNNNNNNNNNNNNNNNNNNNNNNNNNNNNNNNNNNNNNNNNNNNNNNNNNNNNNNNNNNNNNNNNNNNNNNNNNNNNNNNNNNNNNNNNNNNNNNNNNNNNNNNNNNNNNNNNNNNNNNNNNNNNNNNNNNNNNNNNNNNNNNNNNNNNNNNNNNNNNNNNNNNNNNNNNNNNNNNNNNNNNNNNNNNNNNNNNNNNNNNNNNNNNNNNNNNNNGCCUACGUUACAGGUAACAUAAGUCUUAAAUGCUAAUAAAGGCACGGGGAAACGUAUGACCGUUUCCCUCCAGGGGGUUACGAGGCUCAGAGUGGAGUCCAGACGGUUAGUUUGAUACGCUCCGAAUGCUAGUCUCCGACUAGAUGGUCGAAGACCUGUUACCGACUGGAUGAUGGGAACUCCUUAGUUCAGUCGGAACUGACUAAGGGACUUGUCCCUUAUGAGAGGUAGUCCUUGGGUAGGACCUACAGGGCAGGCCUAUGACCCUACCAUAGGACUAUAACCCCAUCAUUAGUCCCCGAAUGGAUUGGGAUUGGAACGACGAAGCGAUGCUUGAAGUUUGGAUCCGACUGAUACGGAUGUGACUUUGGCGUUGCCUGCCUCAAUCCAUUUUAUCUUUUCUGACCAACGAUCCGAGUGGAAGUAUUUGUGAAACAAACUGUCGGAAACCGAGUGCUUCCGUGGCAUCUUCUGACGUGACCAGUCAACUGACAGCGGCGGAUUUUCCGGGAUCCUCAAAUUUCGGUUACCGCACGCUCAGCGGGGAUGACGACAUCGCGCUCGAGUAGCGCCUGACGCCUCGAUUCCCGCGCCUUCAUCUUCUCCACUGAUAUCGCCGCGGUCGGUCGGUGGAUAAGAUUUCGGGGCCACUUGCCAGUGACCCAGUCGGAACCUUACUUAAAUCCCAGCGGCGAGGGUUUUUUCGUUACGCUUGUCGGACAUCUCGCCUUUGCUCCGCUUCCUUCGCCAUCCUCUGCGCAUCCUAAGCUUCUUCCUUCUCCUUCUCCCUCGCGAAUCCGUAGCUUCCGCCAUGACAAAGGGGCAGACUAGCAAGCUAGAGGCGCGGAAGAAGAGGGGGAAGGUGGCGGCUCCUGCGCGGAAGCAGCGAACGCUACCGGCGGGGUGGAUCCAGGGGGACUUCCUCCCCUCCACUGUGAUGGAAGAGGACCUGCUGGAGCUGGUGGAGCACGGGCUGAUCGUGCACAAGUCGUGGAGGCUGUCGGCGGAGGGUGAGACCGAGCCGGCGCCCCGGGAGGGGGAGCGCGUCCUGCUGCUCAGCCACAUGCAUUGAGGUUUCUCCUUGCCCCCGCAUCCUUUCUUCAAAGGCAUAAUGAAUCACUUCGGGGCCCAGCUCCACCACUUUCCCCCGAAUGCCAUAGCCCAUCUCUCUGCUUUCGUAGUCUUGUGCGAGUGCUUCAUCGGUUGUCCUCCCCAUUGGGGGCUUUUCAAACAUAUCUUCUCUGCUAGAUCCCAAACUAUCAAACGACUUAAUCAGUCGGAUGAUAAGACUCACCUUCUCUAGCUCUGCGGAGGCUUAGGCUUCCAAAAGAAGAGCAAAGGUAGUUAUCCUGCUCUUCAGCUGAGUGAAUCGGUUAGGAACUGGCAGUCGACAUGGUUCUACUGCCAGGACAUUGCCAGCCCGAAUGCCACGACAGGGUUGCCCCCUUUUAGCUUAGAUCGACCAGCUCCGCCUAAGCAGCUCGCGCUCACGAAGGCGGAGAAGGUCGAAAUCUAGCCUCUGGUCGACGCACUCGUAGAUGUCGUCAGGAAGGGAGUCACCGGUACAGACUUGGUCGAGGUUUUCCUCGGUCGGCGCAUCCAACCACUUCAGGCCCGACACCACGCCAUGUGGCACUACACGGGGCCCGAAGACUCCACUCGGACCAACGUCGUGUGCGUGACCGGGGAGAUGGUGGCGUCGUGGGUGCUCCAGAUCACAGGUGCCUGUGAGAACCCCAGAGGGUCCCGGCGAGUGAGGGCUUUCUGCGCGGACAAUCCUCCUUCGAACCAGGUGAGUACAACUUGUCGAGUGCACAUAACUGUCUUAGUUUUAUCUCUUUCUUGAAUCUCUGUCUGGCGUCUGAUGUCGUCGACUGUAUUUUAUGCAGGUGGACCAACUGGUUCUCCCCUGUCUCGAACGGGAACCCGGCCGGGGAGGAGGAAGAGGACAGCCAGGAGGGCAGCGUGGAGAGUGUCGAGUACGUCUCCGACGGUGGGGAGAUGGAGGAGGAGUCUGGUGAGGAGGAGGAGGAAGACGAAGAGCAGGACUCGCCACCCUCGUCGCCAGAGCAUCGAACCAAGCGCCGACAUGAACCUGCAGCUCCCUCAGCCCCUCCAGCAUCCUCAAGUGCUCCGCCAACUGCUCCUACGGUUCCGAGUGCCCCGUCAACUGUCCCCAGGGUUCCGAGUGCUCGGAGCACCAAGAGGACCAGGGACGCUGCUGCUGAGCCUGCGGGUCAGCCUUCCAAGGUGGCCAAACCAAGCGGAUCUAAACCUCGGAAGGCUUUGCCGCGGAUGAGGGUCGCCGUUCCCGUCACCUCAACGUAAGUGCCUUGUUCUUCUAACUUCUUCUGAUAUUCGAUUGGACUCCUGUUUAUUGUUCGAAUGAAUUUCACUCGACAGAGUUUCUACCUCUGCCACCUCUCCGGCACGCCAGGGGGAUGAUCCCAUGGACGUGGACAAUGUCGUCUCGUCCCAGCCAGGUGCGUCGUAGCGAUUCCGAGAGUUUACAUUAUCGCAUCACGAAUUCUGUCUUCGGUCUUGCCCUUUUUCUUUCUGUGGUCUCACGCCAUUCGGUCGGGUUUCUCUCAGGGGCGAUUUAUGUGGAUGAGGGUGACCAGGGAAGGUCUGAGCAAGCUGCGGUGCCUGUCCUUGAGGCUGUUCCGCCAGUUACUGUUCUCACCGCGGACAUGCCGCCGACUGAGGCGAUGUCGUUGACUGAAACGGCGCUGGUUGCUGCCGAAUCGACUGGAGCGGGCCUUUGGAUGCCUAAGGAGCCUCCAAUGAUGCCAGGCCCGUAGAACGUCGAGUACAACGUCCAGCGCCUCCUAGAAGACCAGGUGGGAGCGGCCAAGGGGGCCAUGGUACAGGCGGAGCUAAUGGCGGGAGAAGCCAAGAAGGCGUACGACUCCAUCGCGUCCCUGUACCAGCGAAGCUUGGAACUGCGGGACGAUAUUCGAGUAAGUGGGCUAGUAAGUAUUUACUUUUCUCUUGUAACCCACUGGGUGUGCUCGGAUAUCGUAUGAUUUUUGCAAUGGGUUCACUCUUAGUGAACCCAGUGGGUGUAGUCCCCGAGACUUCUGUCGAGUGCUUGCACCGGCAGUUGUCUUUAUACACACUGUCUGUGACUUGAUCAGAUCACAAAUUAAUCUGUUGGAAUGUUAACAGUUGGUGCACUCGGAGUGCACCUAUUGGAUGAGUCUCCGAGAGUAAUUUUACUCAGGUCGGGUAGUAGUAGCCUCAUAGGCUUAGGUGUUAUCAUGUAUCUCAAUAGGGCGGACCUGUUUGAGUUUCAUGCCAGUGGAGUCACUCUCAGUGAACCCACUGGGUGUAGUCCCCGAGACCGCUGUUGACUGCUUGCGUCGUCAGGGGUCUGAAGAACUUAGACUUUUUAUUGUUGGAUUUGUCUGAUCGUCUCCUGGCGCUGGCUGGCAGAAAACUUGCGAGAUGGGGACGGCGUACGAGACUCUCAGGGCUGAAAAGGUUCAGUUUGCCGGUGAGCUAGAUGCGGCACUGGUUGCAAUGGCUGGUAUGAAGGAUGUUCUGGCGGAACGAGAGAAGUCCUUGGAGCAGGCCCGUGAAGCAAAAAAGGCAUUGACUGCUGAAGUGGAGAAAAUGAAGGCGCAUAGGUCCGAGCUGAUGGGGCAAAUGAAUGUGCUGAACAAGCGGUGUAUAGCACAGGAAAAUACGUCAGUGACUCGGCCCGGCAGAUGAUAACGCGUCUGGGUGGUAAGUCUUGUUUUUUCGAGUGCUUGUGGUAUGUGCAUUUCACUCGGCGCUUAUUGUUUGCUCGUCCUGUGUUUGUAGAUUUUUGCAUAGAUGUUGAGGCUGAAGCAGCUGACGUGGAGCGGUCGAUUCGUGAGAACAUUCCACUCGGCGAGGACGCCAAUCGAGAUCUGCUCCGAGCGCACAUUCGCGUGGGCAAAGUUGGGCCUUUCAUCGGUCGACUGAGAGAAGUCGUCGGCCGGAUCGACAAGGAGCUUUGGCCUGAGGACAAGUCUCGGCAUGAGAUGGAAGGCUUGAUGACUCGGCUGGAGGAGUGCAGUCAUGGAAGAAGUAUGCGUCUCGCUGUGGUGCGGACGUUGCUUUGUCUCUUGUCCGAGUGCAUUGCAAGGAGGUGCGCGAAGAGAAGCUGAAAGCGUUGCAGGUCGCCAACACGAAGAAACUUCGGUUCGAAGACUUCAUGGAAACCUUCCUUGAGAGCGCCACCCGCAUCGCCGACGGGAUCGAUCUGGACACAUUCGUAGAGCCCGCCAGUCCUAGCGCCAGUCCGGACGACGCUUAAGAAAACUUUUUACCUCGGUAUGCCGAGUGUUGGUUGUAAGAAACUUUGGCCACUGCUGUUGGCCGUCACAUUCUUGGCUCGGUGCGGGUAAGCUUGAUCCACACCGAGCCAACUAUCUUUAGGCGAACUUUGAAUUUGAAUCAAAUCUUUUGCUCUUCUGUUGCCAAAGAGUUGUUGAUACGAUUUUGGCUCGAGUUUUUGUUUGGCAUUUCUUGGUGAAGCCAAUGGCAAACAUGCGGAGCAUGUAAUUGUCAGUUGUCUUGACAUCUGCAUGAGCCUCCCUGAGGGUCUGCUGAUUCUCCGAGUGGAUCUGUAGGAUACACUCGAAGGCAAUAGAGUACUUAGGCGAUUCAUGAUCGCGGCUAAGUCUUCGAGUGCGAAUGUGAGGGCGCACUCGGAUUGAUUUGUUACUCAUGUAAUUGUCAGUGGUCUUGACAUCCACAUGAGCCUCAAUGAGGGUCUGCUACUCAUGUAAUUGUCAGUGGUCUUGACAUCCACAUGAGCCUCAAUGAGGGUCUACUGAGUCCCCGAGUGUAUCUGUAGGAUACAGUCGCAGGAAGCUUUCUCAUUGAAGCGAUUCUUUAUCGCAGUGAAGUCUUCGAGUGUGACGAGUAGUGCACGCUCGGAGAAAAUUUGUACUGAGGCGAUUCUUGAUCACAGCUCAGUCUCCGAGUGCGACGUUUAGUGAACACUCGGAGAAAGUUAUUACUUAGGCGAUUCUUGAUCGCAGCUAAGUCUCCGAGUGCGACGUGAAGUGCACACUCGGAGGAAGUCAGUACUUAGGCGAUUCUGGAUCGCAGCUAAGUUUUUUUUUUGAGACCGGAGUCUGCGACCGCGGAAGAAUUUUGAAUCUGCAAAAGCUCAAUCUGCUUUAUAUUAUUUUACCAAUAGUUGUUCUUUACAUUGCUUCAGUCGACGGUCACGUGUAGAAGCGCUUCAGUAGAUCUCCGUUCCAUGCUCGCGGUUCGUCUGUCUCCCUAUCGAUGUUGUAGAGUCUGUAUGCUCUGUUGUACAGCACCUUGGAGAUGAUGAAGGGUCCUUCCCAGGCAGGAGCCAACUUGUGAGGUCUUUGCCGAUCCACUCGGAGCACCAGGUCGCCUGCUUGGAAUGUGCGACUCCUGGCGUGUUGUGCGUGAAAACGCCGCAGAUCUUGUUGAUAAAUGGUUGAGCGAGUUAGUGCCAUCUCGCGCUCCUCCUCUAGAAGGUCCACUCCGUCUUGUCUUGCUUGUUCUGCUUCAGCUUCAGAGAAGAGUUCGACUCGUGGAGCAUUGUGAAGCAAGUCACUCGGAAGGACUGCUUGUGCUCCGUAAACGAGGAAGAACGGUGAUCACCCUGUAGAUCUGUUCGGGGUUGUGUGAAGACCCCAAAGAACUGAAGGUAGCUCGGUGACCCAUGCGCCAGCGGCAUGUCCCACCUCUCGCAGGAGUCGGGGCUUCAAACCUUGCAGAAUAAGUCCAUUCGCCCGCUCUGCUUGUCCGUUUGAUUGAGGAUGCACCACGGAUGCAAAAUCCACUCGGAUACCUUGGCUUGCACAGAAACCUUUGAAUCUGUCCGAGUCAAAGUUUGUCCCGUUGUCCGUGAUUAUGCUGUGAGGUACACCGAAUCUGGAGAUGAUGUCCCUGACAAACUUGAUGGUUGUUAGGGCGUCGAGCUUCUUGAUGGGCUCGGCUUCAAUCCAUUUUGUGAACUUGUCGACUGCCACCAACAGAUGUGUGUAUCCUCCUUGGCCUGUCCUGAAUGGACCGACUGUAUCUAAUCCCCAUACUGCAAACGGCCACACAAGAGGGAUUGUCUUCAACGCAGAUGUUGGCUUGUGGGACUUGUUGGAGUAGAACUAACAGCCUUCACAUUGGUCGACCAUAUCUUUAGCCAUUUCGUUUGCGUGCAGCCAGAAGAAACCAGCUCUGAAUGCUUUGGCGACGAUUGCUCUCGAAGAGGCGUGAUGACCGCAGGUUCCCGAGUGAAUUCUUCCAGGAUUAACUGUCCCUCCUCUGGGGAGAUGCAUCGUUGAAGAACGCAUGAAACGCUUUCCUCGUACAACUGGCCAUCAAUGACAGUGAACGACUUCGACCUGCGGACUAUCUGCCUGGCCUGGACUUCGUCUUCUGGUAAUUCCUGCCUCAGGAUAUAUGCAAUGAUCGGCACAGUCCAAUCGGGGAUGACAGCAAGAAUCUCCAUGAUCAGAUCAACAACAGUAGGUACAUCGACUUCAGUUGGAUCUGUCAAACUCUUUGGUUGUAUUGGUUCCUCUGUGAAAGGAUCUUCUUUGACUGAGGGAAGGUGGAGGUGCUCGAGGCAGACGUCACUCGGGACUGGUCUCCGAGUGGAUCCGAGUUUUGCCAACUCAUCAGCUGCUUGGUUCUUCAGUCGCGGAACAUGGUGGAGUUCUAGACCUUCAAACUUCUUCUCGAGCUUCCUCACUGCAUUGCAGUAUGUGGUCAUGGUGGGGUUCCUGACGUCCCACUCUUUCAUCACUUGAUUAACCACCAAAUCCGAAUCGCCAUAGACCAUCAGGCGACGGACGCCGAGUGCGAUGGCCAUGCACAGUCCAUAAAGGAGAGCUUCAUACUCUGCCUCAUUGUUGGAGGAAUCAAAGUGUAUCUGCAGCACAUAUUUGAGUUUGUCGCCCUUUGGCGAUACGAUCACAACGCCAGCGCCGGAGCCAUUCAACAUCUUGGACCCAUCGAAGAACAUUGUCCAAUGAGCCGAGUAGAUGUGGGUCGGUUGCUGUUGUUCUACCCAUUCUGCUAUGAAGUCAGCCAGGGCUUGAGACUUUAUAGCUUUCUUGGCUUCGAACUUGAUAUCGCAGUACAACAUCUCCAUUGCCCACUUCGCCACUCGGCCCGACGCGUCGCGAUUGUGGAGGAUUCCCGCCAACGGAGCAUCAGAAACGACAAACACCGAGUGGUCUUGGAAAUAAUGGGCCACCUUCUUCGCAAUCAUGUAAAUCCCGUAGAUAAGUUUUUGAUAGUGGGGAUACCUCUGCUUGGAAGGAGUCAGGACUUCGGAGACGUAAUACACUGGCUGCUGAACUUUGUAUGCUUUGCCUUCUUCUUCUCGUUCGACUGUAAGAACAGUGCUGACGACUUGAUUUGUAGCCGCGAUAUACAGAAGAAGGGGCUCUUUACUGAGCGGAGCAGUAAGAACCGGCUGGGUGGAAAGUAGGACUUUGAGGUCGUCGAAUGCGACUUGGGCUUCAUCUUUCCACUCGAAAGUAUCUGAUUUCUUCAUGAGUCGGUACAGAGGAAGUGCUUUCUCGCCGAGUCGACUGAUAAACCUGCUCAAACCGCUAGGCAACCUGUGAGUCGUUGAACAUCGUGUAUUCUGACCGGCCUCUCCAUGCGGACGAUGGUCCCGAUCUUUUCGGGGUUGACAUCGAUCCCUCGUUCGGAAACGAAGAAACCGAGUAACUUUCCGCUGGGAACGCCGAAUGAACACUUGGCGGGGUUGAGCUUGAUAUCGUACCUACGAAGGUUGGCGAAUGUUUCUGCCAAGUCGGUCAGCAGGUUGGAACCUUUGCGUGACUUGACUACGAUAUCAUCCAUAUAAGCCUCCAGAUUCCGACCGAUCUGGUCGAGGAGGCAUUUUUGGAUCAUGCGCAUAAAGGUAGCUCAUGCAUUCUUCAAACCGAAUGGCAUAGUGAUGUAGCAGAAGCACCCGAAUGGGGUGAUGAAGGCUGUUUUUAAUUCAUCGGGGCCAUACAGACGGAUCUGAUGAUAGCCCGAGUAGGCAUCAAGAAAUGACAAACGCUCGCAACCCGCAGUCGAAUCGACAAUUUGAUCGAUGCGGGGGAGCGGAAAAUGGUCUUUCGGGCAGACCUUAUUGAGAUGCUUGAAGUCGAUGCACAUUCUGAACGACUUGUCCUUCUUGGGCACCAUGACAACAUUGGCGAGCCACUCGGAGUGGUGAACCUCGCGAAUGAAGUUGGCUGCCAAAAGCUUGGCCACCUCUUCUGUGAUUCCCUUCCUCUUGUGCGCGGCGGACCGACGCAGGCGUUCUCGGACAGGCCGAGCGGUGGGAUCCACAUGCAGUCCGUGCUCAGCCAACUCCCUGGGUACACCUGGCAUGCCAGAGGGUUUCCAUGCAAAGAUGUCCCAGUUCUCACGGAGGAAUUGGGUGAGCUCGGCUUCCUAUUUAGGAUCGAGGGUGGUGGAGAUGUUCGUCGGGGCAGCAGUGUCGUCCGUCGGGUGGAUGCUGACCUUUUUCGUCUCUCCCGCCGACUGGAAUGCAGACUCCGGAGCUGGCUUCUUCGAAUGCAUCAAGUCAGCGGGGUCGACUGUUUUCUUGUACUCGUCAAGCUCGAGGACGGCCAUCUGCUGGUCGGCGAUUCUUGAUCCCUGCUGCAAACACUCUUCGGCCCGCUGUCGAUUGCCUGUGAUAGUGAUCACACCUUUCGGGCCUGGCAUCUUCAGCUUCAGGUAUACGUAACAUGGACGGGCCAUGAAACGCGCAUACGCCGGGCGGCCCAGAAUUGUGUGGUAAGCGCUCUGGAAGUCCACCACCUCGAACGUCAGCUUUUCCUUGCGGAAGUUCUUGUUGGAGCCGAAAACGACGUCCAACGCGAUCUGGCCGAGUGACUUGGCCUUCCAUCCAGGGACGACUCCAUGGAACUGCAUGCUUCUCUCACUGAGUUUGGACAUCGGAAUGCCCAUCCCCUUGAGAGUGUCGGCGUACAUGAUGUUCAAGCCACUGACACCGUCCAUGAGGACUUUGCGCAGUCAAACUCCUUCCACCACCGGGUCGACGACCAGAGCCUGUCUCCCUGGGGUGGGUACGUGUGCCGGAUGAUCCGACUGGUCAAAGGUGAUCGCAGUCUGAGACCAUUUGAGGAACUUGGGUUGGUAGGGGUGGCCAUGUUCACCUCCCUGUUCACCAGCUUCAGUCGACUCUUGCUCUCAACGUCAGCAAAAGUCAUCAGUGUUGCAUGGACUUGGGGGAACGGACCCUCCUUAUCCUCCUCGUCCUGUUCAUUGUCCUUUUCACUCGGUUGCCCUUCGCCGAACCCCUGGAUCAGGAGGCGACACUGUCGAGUGGUAUGCUUCGGAUAUAUGGGGUUGCCCUCUUCAUCCAUCUUCGUAUGAAUCGGACACGGCUGGUCCAGGAUGGGAUUAUUGAACUGCUUCUUCUUGGGGGUGAACUGAGCCUUCCCUUUGCCCUUGAACUUGGCGUUGCUUACAGCUGCAGCCUCUGCCUGCGGAGUGGACGGAGCUUUCUGCUUCUGCUUCCGAGUGUUGCUCCCAUCUCCAUCGGCGACUGUUUUGUGCUUGCCGCUUCGGAUGCGGUCCUCUUCUUCGCCAUUUGCAUAGCGUGCCGCUAUCUCCAUCAUCUUGCUCAUGGAGAUGUCGCCUGUUCGGCCAAACUUCAGGUACAGAUCCCUGUACCGCACGCCUACCUUGAAAGUGCAGAUUGCUUGAUGCUCUGUGACGUUCUCCACCGUGUGGUAGAGGGUUGUCCAACGCUGAAUGAAAUCACGCAGGGGCUCAUUCUCCUUCUGGACGCAAUGCUGGAGCUCCACGAGGCCAGCAGGGCGCUUGCACGUCCCUUCGAAGGUCCUGAUGAACACUCGGGCCAGGUCUGCCUAGCUGUAGAUGCUUGAGGGGGCCAACUGGUUCAGCCACGCUCGCGCCGAGCCGUCGAGCAUCAGAGGGAGGUGCUUCAUGGCGACAUGGUCGUCCCCUCCUCCGAUCUGGACUGCCACUCGGUAAUCAUCCAGCCACGUUUCUGGCUUGGACUCUCCUGUAAACUUGCUGAUUCCCGUUGCCAGUCGGAAGUUGGGAGGGAUGUCAGCCGAACGGAUGGCUCGACUGAAACACUCGGGACCAGAAACGAUGGUCCUGCUUCCACUCGGACGGUCAAUAUCGUAACCAUCGCGGUGGGCUCGGCCCCUGUCGACCCUCCGCUGGGCGAUAUGCCCUCUUGCGUCGGGUCUUGGGUCGUAAGUGUCACCGACUGAACGCCGAUCAUCAUGAUGUCGGGGCCCGUACGGCCCACCCCGCGGAGGGGUGCGUGAACGGCGACGAUCUUCGGGGUUUAUGGAACGGCUGUCUCCCCUGUGUCGCCGAUGAGAACCAGGGCUGUGAACUGACCGAUGCGUAUUCGCAUGAACAGAACUAUUGUGGAUCCUGUUGUGCGACUGAGAGACCGCCGAAUUUUGCUGUUGCGUCGUGUGCAACAGGGCACGGAUUUGCUCGAUCCCCCUGCCAGCCUCUGAAUCAGUCGGCUGAAGGGAAUUGGCAAUCUUGGCAGCCGCAGCCAAGUUGAGGAUGGGUGUGCGGAACGACUCCACAUUGCUCCGCCGAGUGUGCCGGCUGGCAGAACGGCGAGGCGGACGACGCGCGCCGGAUGUUUCGCCGAUCUCGUGCUCGUUCCGGCCAGCUUGACGGGGAUCUUCAUGGGAGUUGGCCAUGUGUACUUCUGCUGCAGGCCCGCGACCCGCGUACUCGGAAGGAAACUCAGUCGGAACCGAGUCCGAGCGCUGGGACGGAGGGGCAACCACAACCGACUCUAGGACCGCCACUUGUGAAGACGCGUUCUGGCGUGCCUGGGCGUGUCGCACCCAACGCUGGAGCCGCGGACGGCGGGACCGCUUGUUGCGGCGCGUGACGGCGGUGUAGGUCGACACCGGAGCCGACUGUUGGAGAAGAAGAAGAACGCCGCAGGCGCCGGCACGGAAGUGCGUAGCCCCGUGGCGGGAAAGCGCCUCGAUAUCGAGAGGAGCAUCCCGAAGCCAUGCUGAAUCGUCGAUGAUGAAGGAGAGAGCGCCGAAGAGGAUCUCGUGACCCAUGCUCGAAUCUCCACCGGACGACAUGACGAAACGAUGUAGUCGCAAACUCGCCGGAAGUCGCGUAGACGCCUGCCCCACGGUGGGCGCCAACUGUCGUGGGUAUAAGCCUGACAGUAUAUGUGUAGGGUACGAAAGGAUGGGCAGAGCCUUAGCUACGGCGAGGUUGUAUGAGUUCAGGCCCCUCUGCGGUGGAGGUAAUAGCCCUAUGUCUCAGUGCUCUGGGAGCUUGUUGUCGAGUGGAAUAUAGAAUACAGUGAAUUGCUAACCCCUGCACCAGUGGGGGAGGGUGGCUUAUAUAGAGUGCGCUGCCCUCCACAACGGUUCGGUGCACAGGGGUGGAGUAGUGGCGAAUAAAUGCCUACGUUACAGGUAACGUACGUCUUAAAUGCUAAUAAAGGCACGGGGAAACGUAUGACCGUUUCCCUCCAGGGGGGUUACGAUGCUCGGAGUGGAGUCCAGUCGGUUAGUUUGAUACGCUCCGAAUGCUAGUCUCCGACUGGAUGGUCGAAGACCUGUUACCGACUGGAUGAUGGCAACUCCUUAGUUCAGUCGGAACUGACUAAGGGCCUUGUCCCUUAUGAGGGGUAGUCCUUGGGUAGGACCUAUAGGGCAGGCCUAUGACCCUACCCUAGGACUAUAACCCCAUCAAAGAGAAAGUAAGGUACAGUGCUUUGGCAUUCUCUCUGUUCACAACGCUGAUCCCUCGAUCGUCUGAUCGAACGGGCUCAUAAACAUACAAUUAGUCUCCACUGAAUAUCCUGGUUUCAUGUUGUAUCGACGUGCUUGAUUAGGAACCUUAAUUAUUAGGCUAGACUAGUGCUACGUGUAUUUCUUAGUCAGUCAGUGACCUGAUUAAUCUAAACAUUUGGUGCAUGCAUAUGGUUGGCCAAAACCUAGGACUCUGAACGUCAGAGUACACACUACACGACUAGGACAUGUGGUUUACUUAGUAGACCAGUACUGCAUGCAUCAUUAUCUUUUGCUGUUUAAUUUGGCAGAAAUCACAGAAGCUUAUUUCAAUGGCGCAUGCAAAAAUCCAACGAAACGAUUGAAAACUUGAGUUGCGAGCUGAACGCUCAAUAAUAGAACGAUUUUCCUAUACGCUGCAACUAGCUUGGCUUAUUUCUAAAAAACAUUAUGUUCAUAUUCAGCCCCCAUUGAAAAUUGCCACUGUCCUAUAUUGUUGUCCAUGUAUUACAAUAUAACCGAUUAUUAGCUCAGAGUAGGCAGACCAAAUGGUUAUUAGCUCGAGGCACAAGCAAUCAUUCAGUAUGACAACCUAUCACAUGGUGUCAUCAUACUCUUGGCCGAUGACAAGAAGCAGGUCGAGGACCAGGACCAUCUUACCUUAAAGGAGCAGAGCAGGUCGAGAACGAAGAGGAGCAUCGACACUCUUCGUCGCUGAGGCUAAGCAAGCCCUUUCAUCUCUCCUCCUCGAGAAGGACAAGGCUACCAUAGUCGUUAUAAUACAUGGCUGCAAAGAAGAAGCAGAGUCAAAAUAAAAUGUUAUGACAAAUGAUAAAGAGGUAUUAAUUAAGUACAAACAAUAAAAACUCACAUGUCACAACAAUCAUACUACAAUCACACCUCAAAACUCACAAUAUUGUGAGUGGCCUAUUCUUCCCAGAUCCUGGCUUGUUUGCUGCAAGCACCUCUCCACCAACAUAUAACAACAGAGUUAAUAAAACUAUGUGUGAAGGAAUAAAGUCAAACAUUUUGAACGGAAGGUGUCAAGCAACUGCGGAUGCAUUAGUUACCUCGCGCAUUUUCUGCACUUCAUCAGGAAUACUGCAGUUUGCGGCAGAUUUGUCGAACAUUUCAAGUAUCCUGAAGGCUCGAUUCCUCGCAUCGUUCAUAUCUGAAGCAGACAAUAUCUCCUUGACAAUUAGCUCCGCCCAUUCAGUGUUGUUGGUUGGAGCAUUCAUCACCGGAACAUCACAUGCCACUGCGAUUAACAAUCAUUCUAGUGUUAGACAAUAUGCACACUGUAAGAUUCUUGUUUUGAGAAACUGCAUAUUGUAAGAUUAGUGUUGGUCUACAUAAGUUAUACAUCUUCGGACAUCAUUAUCAGAUAACAAGAGGAACAAGUAGUCAGGCUUAUUUUUCAGUCAUGCCAGCCAUACCUCCAGACGAGGAGGUACCAGCAUUGGUCGUUGCUGAAUCCGAUGCCAAAUAACCCUUGAAGCUUCUGAUGGCAGCAUCCAAGACAUUUCCCGACGCUUCGAGAUAGCCUCACAGAAGCUAAAAAUGCCCCCAAAAUUACUCAUCAGAAUGGUACGGAGCAAUACGGUACACAAGGAUCAGGGCCCUCAAGUCUACUGUUGUGACAUAACAUAAACCAAAGCUAUAUCAGGAUUUCAGAAAACCAUGGUAGAACUUCUGUGCACAAGAGAAACGGAUGUACGUACAUGCUAUUUGUUCUGACAUGUUUAGUUGAGACAUUUUAUUUCUGAAAUCCUAAAUUUAGCCAUCAUACACGCAUAGACAGGAAUCAUCCUCAUGGGAAGCGUUUGGCUCGCGCAAGAGGGGAAUAGUUGUGGACGAUUCUUCUGAACUUUUGAUUUACAAUUCCAUUAAUCUCUAAACUCUAGUCUAGUCUAAUUCAAGAAAUGGGAUAUGAAUCGGCAAAAGAAAAGAAAAAGGAAAUUCCCUGAUUUGUUGAAUUGUAAACCUUUUCAGCGAGUGAUGAUGAUAAACAAAACCAUUUUGCUGAAUCGUAAAAACAGGCAGUGAUGCUUAUCAGGUUGGUAACUUCCCACUGAUGAUGAUAAUAAGAUGGUAACAGUAAUUAGACACUGCAUCACAGCACAAACGAGGAAUCUUACUACCACAUAUCACAGGCUAAUUAUAAGAAACUAGCACAUCUCUACACCUUCAGAUCAAAAACUAGGAAUAGCCCCCCUAUCACCACGGAUGGCACAAAGGUGUGUCCCUGAAGAGGCCGACGAGGCAGGCCCCGGCGCCCUCCUGUAGCACGAAGACGGCAGAGCUCUGAAUAAUGCGGUUUUCACAGCAAAGUUGUGCAUUAAUUAAAGAGAAUAGAAUCAUAUAACCUUGGAACAAUAAGAAACGCAACGGCGGCAGUUGAGUUGAUGUUUGCUAGGUAUACUUCAGGAGUCAUCACUCAUCAACCAUAUCAUGGAGGGCUGAUUUGAAUGGUUAGUAGAGUAGUUUAGUCAAAACAAAAUUUCUGGAUGCACUCUCAUUAGAAAUGCAACAACCAAGUUACUCAACAAAAAGGAAUGAAUACUAAACUUCUGAUAAUUUCGACAAAUGCAAUGGUUCAGAAUAAGAGUAAGACAUACUGUGGGGCUCUAUGUCAAGAAGCCAGUGACCUACAGAUUUCAGAAACUUCCAUUGUUGCACUACCUAGCAAACAUCACGGAGGCAAGCCUACUAAUCAUGAGGUGGACCAAACUGAAAACUGAAAAUCCUAUCAAGUGCAUGGAUCACGCUAAGAAACUGUUGGUAGAUUUUUCAGAUUUACAAACACGUAGCUAAACAAGGGUAACAUCAUGGAGCACAAAAUUAAGAUCAGAUAUCAAACUUUCACAUGACUGAUGGUAACAAGACGGUAAUAAGGUCUCCCACACCAAACAUCCUUGAUAAACAGGAACAUCAACAAGCCCCAAACUGAAACUACUUCCAAAAGAAAUACCCAUCUAAUUCAGAUUCCUUAAAGGGAGGAACACCAGAACAUCAGUCGAUUUAGAGACGGCUCAGCUUAGAUCAUAUGUAGCACAAUAAUAUAUAUCUAAAAAAAGCGAGCAACCACAUUUUGUUUUCGUUCUAGAUUCAUUAGUACAGCCAACUACACCACAUAGCACGUAGCACUGUAGGAACCACAAGUCUGACCAAACUGAAUAUGAAUAGAAGGGCAUGGCAGGCAGCAGAUAAAUCUGAAACCACAUGUGUGCAUGAUAAAGUAAAAGACUGAUGAAAAGGAUUGCAUGCAUGAUUAACUAAACCACAAGUCACUGCAGGUCGUUGGCCCGGCAUGAGGUUCGGCGUUCGACUUUCCUGACAGAGAGCUGCUAUUGUACCCAUGGACAUGGAAUACUCCUCGUGCUGCUAAAUAACAAGAAGGUCUCAUCGCGUCCUGAAGCAGCACAUCACAACGAGUGUGGGGGAGGAAGGUCCAUGGCAUCCUCCUCCGAGGGCGACCUUGAUCUGUUGGAUUUGGGAGGGAGAGGAGAGGUGAGGAAGAACCUACUACAGAGAGAGGGGGAGGGAGGGAUGAUGGUGGUCAUACGAGAUCAGGUGUCAUCAUGUAUGGGCUCCUCCUAUGCUGCGUGCAAGGUCGACAUGGCACCGGGCUUGUCCUCCAUGGCGUCCUCCUUGACCACACGGGACAGGAUGCAAACAAGCAAACAAACAAAAAUGCACAAAACAAUCAGAUUUGAUCCAAAGUAGAAGCAAUCGAGGAGGACGAGCAAGGGAUGAUCCAUAACAGAUCGAUUCUGGUCGCCAUGGCUGGGAUCCUCCUACGCUUGUGCGGGCUAGGGUUUCAGUAUGUGCUGCUGGAAAGAAGGAUAGGGUGGGUCUUGGGGAGAGCAGGUCGGCACCGAUGCCGUGGCCGGCGGGAGGGAUGGGGGAGAGGAGAUCUACGACAGGGUUGGGUUGGGUUGCGGGAGGGGUGGGGGAGAGGAGAUCGGCGGCGGGGUUGGGUUGGGUUGCGGGAGGGAGGUGGAAGACACACAGGAGAGAGACUCGAGUUGGUAGGAGAGGGAGGAGGGUGUGUCAUGCGCUAGGUUUAUCGAGGAGAGGUGAUGAGACGUUGGAUCUGUAGGACAUGGACGGCUCAGAUCGCCUUUACUAGGGUGAUCUGUGGGCUCUAUUCUGAUUGGUUAGACAUGUGCCUUUAUAAACUUGUUUUUUAAGUGUUAAAAACAGAGGAGAUAUAUGAAGCAACUAUCAAAAACAUUUUGCAAAACGGCACCAUUAAUUUUUAGGUGCAUCUUGGAAUGGAAAACAAUGUUGCCUAAGAACGUUUUCAUUUUCAUUGGACGAAAAAGUCAUUUUCCAAUUUUUGACUGUCCAGAAUAAGUUUUUUUGUGAAGGGCCUAUCAUAUAUUUGUUGCAAAAUUGGAUCAAAUCAUUUUUAUAAAAUACUAGGUCAUAUUUAAUGCACAAUUGACCAAAUGAUUGGGUGUCAAAAGCUUUUAUCCACCUCUCGUGAAAAAGACAAAUUUCCGCCGAUUUAACUUGAAGCGAGUCAAAUUUGAACCGCAACUGUCUUAUAGUUUACUCUUUAUUUUUUCCAAAAAUAUUCUCUAGGUACAAAAGUAUCUAUUUAAUCAGAUAAACACCAAAAAAAUUCCAAGAUUCAACCACUAGAUAGGAACGGUCAUACCCGCUGUUUUGACCGUAUUUUGAAACACGCAUGAAAAAUUCAAAACCAAAUCAAAAAAUUGAAAAACCUUCGCAUUGUGCCAUUAAAUAUAACCAAGUUAUGAGGAAAAAUAAUAAACUUGUAAUACGAUAAUUAUUUAAAAAAAUGUUCUGAGAAAUGAGCUAUCAUGUGUGAAGACCACAAACCAGCCCAUUAGCAAGCAUGGAGGAUAAAAUACCAACCCAAUAUAAAAGUAAGAUGAAAAAAUAGCCCAACAGAAAGUGGUAUAAAAAACAGUUCAAUACAUGGAUGAGGUGGGAUAGAAUGAACCCACGAGUGACAUAUCAACAUAGUUAAAACAUGUAACGACAUUUUUAUAAUCGUCAUAAAAGUUAUGAUGAUCUCAUCUUAUGCGGUUACGACGUUUUUGACUCACAUCGUUGUAAUUUGUAUGUAGAUUUGAUCCCCUCAAAAGGUUUACGGCGAUCUCGGAUGAAAUCGUCAUAGAUAUAUGACGAAUUCAUCAACGACAUCUUAAAAAACGUCAUGUAUGAGCAUAUUUCUUGUAGAGGGAGGCAGCCCCACGCCUUAGGGUUUUAGCCCUAGGCGCAUUGGGCCCUUUUGGUGGCUCGCACCAGCCAACGAAGGAGCUGGUUCCCUCCCACUUUCGUCCCAUGUGGUCCUCCCGGGACAGGUGGACCCUCCGGUGGACCCCUGGUACCCUUUCGGUGGUCCCGGUACAAUACCGAUAAACCUCGAAACCUUUCCGGUGACCAAAACUGGACUUCUCAUAUAUAAAUCUUUACCUCUGGACUAUUUUGGAACUCCUCGUGACGUCCGGGAUCUCAUACGGGACUCCAAAAAACUUUUCGUAACCACAUAUACAAUUCCCAUUACAACUCUAGCGCCACCGAACCUUAAGUGUGUAGACCCUAUGGGUUCGGGGUUUGUGAAGUUGGUACUCAACAUGUAACCCCUAUUCCCUAUGUUAGGUUGUUUGUUAGGCCAUUAGGUAAAGUGUCGGAUCAAUUUCCCCAUUGCUCACUCAUACGUCUCCAACGUAUCUAUAAUUUUUGAUGGUUUCAUGUUAUUAUAUUGUCAAACUUUGGAUGUUUUGCGUGCCUUUUAUUUAUUUUUUGGGACUAACUUAUUAACUCAGCGCCAAGUGCCAAUUCCUGCUUUUUUCCAUGUUUUUCACCCCUUUCAGAGGAGAUUUUGAAACGGAAGAAAAUCCCCGAAAAGAUUUUUUUUGGAACGGAAGAAGAUUAGAGAACUUGGGAGGCAAGGCAGGGGAGCCCCAGGGGCCCCACAAGCCCCCACCCCGCGGCCAGGGGUGGUGCGCCAUCCAGGCUUGUGGGCCCCCUGGAGGACUAUAUAAUCCCAAAAAUUCCAGAAAAAAUCAGGAGAUCAUCGAAAGUACUUUUCCGCCGCCGCAAGCUUCUGUCUCCGCAGGAUCCCAUCUGGGGCGCGUUCUGGUGCCCUGCCGGAGGGGGGAUUCGGACACGGAGGGCUUCUUCAUCAACACCAUGACAUCUCCGAUGAUGCGUGAGUAGUUCACCAUAGACCUACGGGUCCAUAGCUAGUAACUAGAUGGCUUCUUCUCUCUCUUGGAUCUUCAAUACAAAGUUCUCCAUGAUCUUCAUGGAGAUCUAUCCGAUGUAAUCUUAUUUUGCGGUGUGUUUGUCGAGAUCCGAUGAAUUGUGGAUUUAUGAUCAGAUUAUCUAUGAAUCUUAUUUGAGUUUCUUCUGAUCUCUCUUAUGCAUGAUUUCAUAUCCUUGUAAUUCUCUUCGAGUUGCGGGUUUUGUCUGGCCAACUAGAUCUAUGAUUCUUGCAAUGGGAGAAGUGCUUGGUUUUGGGUUCAUACCGUGCGGUGACCUCACCCAGUGAUAGAAGGGGUAGCGAGGCACGUAUCGUGUUGUUGCCAUCAAGGGUAAAAAGAUGGGGUUUUCAUCAUUGGUUUGAGAUUAUCCCUCUACAUCAUGUCAUCUUGCUUAANNNNNNNNNNNNNNNUCUCCGAUGAUGCGUGAGUAGUUCACCAUAGACCUACGGGUCCAUAGCUAGUAACUAGAUGGCUUCUUCUCUCUCUUGGAUCUUCAAUACAAAGUUCUCCAUGAUCUUCAUGGAGAUCUAUCCGAUGUAAUCUUCUUUUGCGGUGUGUUUGUUGAGAUCCGAUGAAUUGUGGAUUUAUGAUCAUAUUAUCUAUGAAUCUUAUUUGAGUUUCUUCUGAUCUCUCUUAUGCAUGAUUUCAUAUCCUUGUAAUUCUCUUCGAGUUGUGGGUUUUGUCUGGCCAACUAGAUCUAUGAUUCUUGCAAUGGGAGAAGUGCUUGGUUUUGGGUUCAUACCAUGUGGUGACCUCACCCAGUAACAGAAGGGGUAGCGAGGCANNNNNNNNNNNNNNNNNNNNNNNNNNNNNNNNNNNNNNNNNNNNNNNNNNNNNNNNNNNNNNNNNNNNNNNNNNNNNNNNNNNNNNNNNNNNNNNNNNNNNNNNNNNNNNNNNNNNNNNNNNNNNNNNNNNNNNNNNNNNNNNNNNNNNNNNNNNNNNNNNNNNNNNNNNNNNNNNNNNNNNNNNNNNNNNNNNNNNNNNNNNNNNNNNNNNNCUUACACUUUUUACUUCGUUGCACUUUCCGCCUUCAGAUCUCACUUUGCAAACAAUCUUGAAGGGAUUGACAACCCCUUUGAAGCGUUGGGUGCAAGCUUGUUUGUGUUUGCGCAGGUACUUUGGACUUGACGAGGCCCUCCUUCUGGUUCGAUACCUUGGUUCUCAAACUGAGGGAAAUACUUACUGCUCCUGUGCUGCAUCACCCUUUCCUCUUCAAGGGAAAAACCGACGCAAACCAGAGAAGUAACAAGAAGAAUUCCUACGCGCCAGGGAAGGACUUUUGUUGCCGCAGCAGAAGAAUUUCUGGCUCCGUUGCCGGGGAGGAAGGUCAAGUCAAGGACUCAUCCAAGUAGGUGUCGCAAACUCAUCUCUUGCAUUUACUUUGUUUGCCAGUUGCCUCUCAUUUUCCUCUCCCCCACUUCACCAAAUUGCCUUUUUCGUUUGCCUUUCCUUUCCUUGUGUGCUAUGUUCCUUCAAAAUGCUUGCAUCUUUGCUUGCUAAGAAUCUAGUGAUAUGGAUGCUCAUCCACUUGCUAAUCUUUUCAAGAGGUCCAACUAUGUUGAACAAAUUGCUAGUGAGUUUUGUGCACUAGAUUAUCUUUAUGGAGUUUUGCUUGACAUGCGUGAAUCUGAAAAUUGUGAUGAGGAAAUUUAUGAAGUGAUUCACGAGGGCUCCUUGGAUGAAAAGCAUGAUUACAAUGGUUUCACUAUAAAUUCUAUUAGUGACAAUCAUGCUAAAAAUAUGCAAAACCCUAAGCUUGGGGAUGCUAGUUUUGCUAUGUCCUCUAUUGGUUGCAAUGAUCAUGAUUGGGGUGAUGAUCUUUCUUAUGAUCUUGAAAAUUUGUUUAAGCCUCUUGAUGAAUAUGAUGUUUGCAAUAUUAUUGAAAGUGGGUUUGGAGACGUCAUGACUUUAGUUGAUGAUAAUCCCACUAUUUUUGAAGAGCGUCAACUUUGCAUGCAUGUGGAUCAUGAAAAGAAUAUCCUACAUGAUAGUUACAUUGUUGAAUUUGAUUAUGAUCCCACAUGUGUUUGCUAUGAGAGAGGAAAAUAUUUUGCUAGAAACUUUCAUGUUACCAAAUUACCUCUCGUUAUGUUGAGAUUGCUAUUGUCUCUUUCUUCUUCCUUGCAUUUGGUAACUAUUGGUUGUCUUGCCAAUUUGUUUUCCUAUAAAAUGCCUAUGCAUAGGAAGUAUGUUAUACUUAGAUGUGAUUUUCACAUGCUUUAUGAUGCUCUCGUUGUUCUUCAACUCUUGUCUUUUGUGUGAGCAUCAUUGAUGCCUAGCUAAGGGCGUUAAACAAUAGCGCUUGUUGGGAGGCAACCCAGUGAAUUUAUCUUUUUCUUUCUGUUUUGUUGCGUCCACACUUUCAUAAUUCUGUUGUGAUUGUGUUUUUUGUGUUUCUUUUUGUGUUUGAGCCAAGCAAAACCUUUAUGACUAGUCUCGAUAAUGGUUGUUUGAUCCUGCUGGAAAAAGACAGAAACUUUUCGCUCACGAGAUGAUUUUUCAUUUUUAUUCAGAAAUAGAUUUUGAGUUGAUUCUUUUUGCUGCGGAUAUAUAUGCUUUUUUCCCAGGCCGUCGUAAAUUUUUCAGAUUUUUUGAGGUACCAGAAGUAUAUGAAGUAUACAGAUUGCUACAGACUUGUCUGUUUUUGACAAAUUAUGUUUUUGUUGAGUUGGUUGCUUGUUUUGAUGAAACUAUGGUUAGUAUCGGGGGGUACUAGCCACGGAAAAGUGAGAAUACAGUAGCCCAUCAUCAAUAUAGAUGGAAUUCAAGUUUGCUACAGUACCAAAAGAAGUGGUAGUUUGUUUUCUUGUACUAAUGUUAUCACAAGUUUCUGUUUAAGUUUUGUGUUGUGAAGUUUUCAAGUUUUGGGUGAUGUUCUCAUGGACAAAGAGAUAAGGAGUGGAAAGAGCUCAAGCUUGGGGAUGCCCAAGUCAUCCCAAGCCAAAUUCAAGGACACCAAAAAGCCUAAGCUUGGGGAUGCCCCGGGAAGGCCUCCCCUCUUUCGUCUUCAAUCCAUCGGUAACAUUACUUGGAGCUAUAUUCUUAUUCACCACAUGAUAUGUGUUUUGCUUGGAGCGUCUUGUAUCAUAGGAGUCUUUUCUUUUUGUUGUGUCACAAUCAUCCUUGUUGCACACCUUCUUGAGAGAGAGAGACAUGCACUCAUCGUGAUCUUGCUAGAAUGCUCUAGUGCUUCACUUAUAUCUUUUGAGCUAGAUACUUUUGCUCUAGUGCUUCACUUAUAUCUCUUGAGCUAGAUACUUUUGCUCUAGUGCUUCACUUAUAUCUUUUGAGAUAGAUACUUUUGCUCUUGUGCUUCACUUAUAUCUUUAGAGCACGGCGGUGCGUGAUUUGGUAGUUGGCUUAUGCUAUGGAAGUAGUCCCAAUUGUGCUAGGUACCCAAAGAGGAUGCAAAACCCUCCAUCUUCAUGUGCAUUGGGUAGAAAGAGAAGUUUCGAUUCCUAUCAAUUAGUUUUGAGACAUGGAUUCGGUAAUAUUAAGAGUUAUGUUAGUAGGGUGUUGUGAAUCUAGAGAUACUUGUGUUCGAGUUAGUGAUUCCCGUAGCAUGCACGUAUGGUGAACCGCUAUGUUAGGAAGUCGGAGCAUAAUUGAUCUAUUGAUUGUCAUCCUUUGUGUUGAGGUCGGGAUCGCGCGAUGGUUUACACCUACCAACCCUUCCCCUCGGAGUAUGCGUUUAGCACUUUGUUUCGAUUACUAAUAAAAACUUUCGCAACAAGUAUGUGAGUUCUUCAUGACUAAUGUGAGUCCAUGGUAUAUAUGCACUUUCACCUUCCACCUUUGCUAGCCUCUCUAGUGCCGCACAAUUCUCGCCGGUGCACAAGCCCACCAAAUUCCUUCCUCAAAACAGCCACCAUAUCUACCUACUAUGGCAUUUUCAUAGCCAUUCCGAGAUAUAUUGCCAUGCAACUACCACCGUUUCGUCUCAUGACUUAUGCUGUCACUCUCAUAUUGCCAUUGCAUGAUCAUAAGAUAGCUAGCAAGAUGUUUCAACGUCAUACGCCAUGCUAGAUCGUUGCACAUCCCGGUACACUACCGGAGGCAUUUCCUAUAGAGUCAUCACCAUUUUGAGCUGUGAGUAAAUAAAGGUGUGAUGAUCAUCCUUAUUAGAGCAUUUUCCCAUGUGAGGAAAUAAAAAAAAAGAGCCCAAAGAGCCCAAAAACAAAAAAAGGGAGAAAAGAAGAGAAAAAAAAGGGAGGCCUAAGAGCCCAAAUGAAAAAAAGAGAAAAAAGAGAAAAAAGAGAGAAGGGACAAUGCUACUAUCUUUUUCCACACUUGUGCUUCAUGUUAGCACCAUGUUCUUCAUGAUUGAGAGCUUCUUGCUUUGUCACUACCAUAUGCUAGUGUGAAUCUUCAUUUUAUAACUUGGCUUGUAUGUUCCAAUGAUGGGCUUCCUCAAAAUUUCCCUAGGUCUUCGUGAGCAAGCAAGUUGGAUGCACACCCACUAGUUUUCCUUUUGAGCUUUCACAUACUUAUAGCUCUAGUGCAUCUAUUGUAUGGCAAUCCCUACUCAUUCACAUUGAUAUCUAUUAAUCGGCAUCUCCAUAGCCUAUUGAUAUGCCGAGUCAGUGUGACCAUCUCCUCCUUUUUUGUCUCACAACCACCACCACACUCUAUUCCACCUAUAGUGUUAUAUCCAUGGCUCGCGCUCAUGUAUUGCGUGAUAGUUAUAAAAAGAUUGAGAAAGUAAGAGUGCGAAAACAAUUACUUGGCCAAUUCCGAGGUUGUUCAUGAUUUACAUUAGUUGUGUGAGGAUGAUGGAGCAUAGCCAGACUAUAUGAUUUUGUAGGGAUAACUUUCUUUGGCCUUGUCAUUUUGAAAGUUCAUGAUUACUUUGCUAGUUUGCUUGAAGUAUUACUGUUUUCAUGUCAAUAACAAACUAUUGUUUUGAAUCGUACGGAUCUGAACAUUCAUGUCACGUGAAAGAAGUCGCAGAGGACAACUAUGCUAGGUAGCAUUCCACAUCAAAAAUUCAUUCUUUGUCACUUCCCUACUCGAGGACGAGCAGGAGUUAAGCUUGGGGAUGCUUGAUACGUCUCCAACGUAUCUAUAAUUUUUGAUGGUUUCAUGCUAUUAUCUUGUCAAACUUUGGAUGUUUUGCAUGCCUUUUAUUUAUUUUUUGGGACUAACUUAUUAACUAAGUGCCAAGUGCGAGUUCCAGUUUUUUCCAUGUUUUUGACCCCUUUCAGAGGAGAUUUUGAAACGGAGUCCAAACGAAGGAAAAUCCCCGAAAAGAUUUUUUUGGAAUGGAAGAAGAUCGGAGAACUUGGGAGGCAAGGCAGGGGAGCCCCAGGGGCCCCACAAGCCCCCACCCCGCGGCUAGGGGGCGCCAUCCAAGCUUGUGGGCCCCCUAGAGCUCCCCUGACCUAGGUCUUUCGCCUAUAUAAUCCCAAAAAUUCCAGAAAAAAUCAGGAGAUCAUCGAAAGUACUUUUCCGCCGCCGCAAGCUUCUGUCUCCGCAAGAUCCCAUCUGGGGCACGUUCUGGUGCCCUGUCGGAGAGGGGAUUCGGACACGGUGGGCUUCUUCAUCAACACCAUGACCUCUCCGAUGAUGCGUGAGNNNNNNNNNNNNNNNNNNNNNNNNNNNNNNNNNNNNNNNNNNNNNNNNNNNNNNNNNNNNNNNNNNNNNNNNNNNNNNNNNNNNNNNNNNNNNNNNNNNNNNNNNNNNNNNNNNNNNNNNNNNNNNNNNNNNNNNNNNNNNNNNNNNNNNNNNNNNNNNNNNNNNNNNNNNNNNNNNNNNNNNNNNNNNNNNNNNNNNNNNNNNNNNNNNNNNNNNNNNNNNNNNNNNNNNNNNNNNNNNNNNNNNNNNNNNNNNNNNNNNNNNNNNNNNNNNNNNNNNNNNNNNNNNNNNNNNNNNNNNNNNNNNNNNNNNNNNNNNNNNNNNNNNNNNAACCAGAGAAGUAACAAGUAGAAUUCCUACGCGUCAGGGAAGGACUUUUGUUGCCGCGGCACUCACCACACCAUCGAUUUUGCCUAGGUAAUUAUGAAAGAAGAGAAGAAGAUGGUAGUUUUGCCUAUGGUUCAGGCAUGGCUCAUGUUGAUCCAUAAAAGAGAUGUUCGUCCUGGUGACAAGCAUGUCAUCCGUUAUGCUCCAAUGCUAGCUCGGGAUAAGGAGAGGAUAACGAAUCUAAACCACAUCUACAACAACAAUGACACAUAGGUUGUGUGGAUGCUAAGAAUGAUAAGAGCAUCUUUCACCAGGCUUGUGCAAAUCUUUAGAUUAGGGGCUGCUAUAAUAUAGCAUCCACACUGGUGUGGAAGAGCAAGUUGCUACGUUCCUCCAUGUUAUCGAACAUAGCCGGAGGUUUAGGAUUAUCCACAACACGACCAGGAGAUCAAUGGAUACCGUUUUCACGUACUUUAGGCAAGUGACGUAUGUUGUUGGGGAACUCAGAGAAAAUAUGACCAGGUCACCAACCGACCGGACUCCUAGUAAGAUACGCACUAGCCCAAGAUGGUAUCCAUAUUUCAUGGUGAGCACCGACAGUAUGUAGUUCAUUCCUGGACAUGCUUGUAUUGUUCUACUAUAUCGAUUACACCAUCUCUUCAUGCCAUUUUAGGAUUGCAUUGGGGCAAUAGAUGGUACUCAUCUCACUACUUGAGUUCGGUGUUAUAAUCUGCAACAUACAUGAGGAGAAAGCACCACACAAGCCAGAAUGUUCUUGUUGUUGUUGACUUUGAUCUGAAGUUUACAUAAUUGCUAGAUGGAUAGGAAGGAUCCGCACAUGCUGGUAACAUUCCAGCUGACAACAUGAGUACACCUGAUGACAUAAAUAUCCCCGAUGGAAUGUUCUACCUGGAAGAUACUAGCUAUGCAUGCCAGCCAGGUGUUCUUCCAUUCAGAAAAAUCAGGUACCAUCUAAACGAGUUCGCCGGUAGAAACUAUCCUAGGUCUCCACAAGAACUAUUUUAUCUUAGACGCUAUAGCCUUAGAGUUAUGGUUGAGUGGGCAUUUGGAGCUAUGAGGAAUAUUCUUAAGAUCCUGAAUCAAAAGUCAUUCCACACUUUUCCCAAACAUGUUAAGCUUAUUCUUACUUGUAGCAUUUUGCAUAACUGAAUCGUGUAAUGGGGUUGUGAUGACCUGACGUCGGAGGAGGAAGAGGUGACGCGUGAUGAUGUUGUCAGCUCUAACCAUGGUGUGGAGGCAUUUGACGAUGAAGCCUGAAAGAACAAAAAGAUGGAGUGUGCACAAGCAAUAUGAGAUAACACAGCUAAGACGAGGAUCUGAAGAAGAAGAGGAACAACAAGAACGGAAAAGAAGAAGCGACGACAAAAGAAGAAACAACGACGACAAAAUAAGAAUAAGGCAAGGAUGGACUUCCAACUAGUUCGGCAUCGGUGAACUAUCCCUGUUGAGUCAUUUGACUGUUUAUUUGUAAUGAUAUUUUCUAAUAGUUAGAACGAACUGUGAUUCCUUUUCUAAUUAGGACUGAAACUAUGUCCGGAUCGUACAUGAUAAGGUCAUCGCUAAUGAGAAGUGAUGAUAGCGCCUUAUACAGUUUGCAACCAAACGACUUAGUUUGUGCGUCCUAUGCAACGUAGACAACCAAACUAACAAGUAAAUAUUGUUUCCCUCACGUAGCCAAUCUUGAUGCAGACAAUCAAACUAUAUGCAGAUGAUCUCUAACACAGUCCCAUCUAAGAUGUAAAGAAAGAGAAAAAUGAUACAGUCAACCAAACACGCCAUAAACCAGGGCCCUCGCUCACAUCGUCGAGGUACCGGUGCUUGGCAUGCAGAUCCGACCUCGUACGAAUCGCAACACCCCGCUUGACCUGUUGGCUGCGCGCUGCUUGAGGUAAGGCCCUCGGGACGGGAGGGAGGGAGGAGGGGCCCAAAGCCUCUCGUCUCGUCUCGCACCACAAAAAGGAUCGCGUGUCUCGUACACCGUGGUUUUUAAUCACUCCCCUCCUUCCUUCUUUCCUGGAGCUGGAGCUCUUUACUCCACUCUCACUACUCACUCGUCACACGCCACUCGAUCCCAUUCCAUUCAGCGCACAAGCCCAGCAGCAGCAGCGGCAAUGACGCCGCGCGCGUCGUGAGACAGACCUACAUACAGGCGGUGUUGGCGCUCGCUGGCGGUGGGGGGGCGAUUAACCGGGCCAGUCUGCGCGCGGGCCAUGGCGGGCGGCCCGGCGAUGGCUCCUGCGGCGGCGUGGUGGCCAGGCGCGGGGGCGGGGGCGCAGGAGCACGAGGAGAUGCGGUGGCGGCAGCUGGAUGGCGGCGUCAGCGCGGUCUCCUUCGGCUUCGUCGCCACGGCCAUGCUCGUCUCCAUGUUCCUCGCCAUGGCCGUGCUCGAGCACUUCCUCCGCGCCCCGCCCAUGGGCCCGCCGGAGCCCUCGCCAUCGCCGCCCCGAGGCGGGGUCCUCCUCCGCCUCCUCCGCCGCCGCGGCGCCGGAGGCAGACCCCCCGGCGCGGAUCUCGAGGCGGCAGGGAAGCUCGACGCCGGACGCGCGUCCCCCGAGGUACCACUACGACGGCACUGCUCCCCCCGCACGCCCCGCCGCCGCCCCCAUUCCCCAUCCGCUCCCGCCUCCCCCCCGCUUUUCAUGAUUCCGUCGUCUCGCCCUUUUUUUACCCUUUCCGCGUCGCUUUUACUGCUCACCGUGCGUGUGGCUGUCUGUGUGCACUUGAGAGUUGAGGCCGACCCAGAUUGCGCAUCAUUUCGUUCCUCCACCACACUCGACUCCGCCAUGAUGCAUCGGCCAUGGCUAGGGCCAGGACCUAGGAGGGAAGCAUCAGAGGAGGAUGCCCAUUGCCCAAGCAGGGACCAAGAGAUUCCUGCCUCGAUUUUUAUGGUGGCUCAAGAAAGUAUCUUAAUAACAUACACAUCAAAGGAGCACAUUUUGAUCUGCAGCGCCGAACCAGAUCUUGCUGAUGUGGUUCAUCACUUGAUCACAGCUCAUCUUCGUCAGUAGUUCAUAGUAGCAGCGUAUCCAUCCAUUAUAGUCGAAGUGAUGUUAAGUUCGUCCAAACUCUGAAACAACUCAUUAAUUAGCUUGGUCGAGAUGUGUCCUACUGCUAGUACCUCAACCCCACAGGUCUCUGUUAAGCCACAACUCAUUUAAUUAGCCUGGUCGGGAUGCCCCACUGCUUCAACCCCACAGGUCUCUGUUAAGCCGUUAGCCACAUCGAUUUCUCCUGUCAUAUUAGCCCUACACAAGUACCAGCUGCAGCUGCUGUCUCAGCAGUUAAUCAUUCAUCAUUAUUUAGAUCGCUUUAUGCUAAGUGGCCACAUGGUGUUUUUUCAGGAAAAUGAGUUAAGAGUAGAUUGAUCACAGGGGUGGAUCUUCCUGAUGCAAUCGAUUUCUAUCCUUCUGUACUCUCUCUUGUGGAUAAGUUCAGUUGGCACCUUCAUAUGGCUUGUAGCAACAUUCUUGUCCAUUUUGUAUGGUGUGAUAUGUAGUGGUAGAAGACAAGGGGAGUUGCUAUUUAAGAUCAUGGGUUGUGGAAUUGAGAGGGGGGUUUGGCAGACAGUGUGGAACAGACAAGGCCCACCCCUGUCUGCACCUAACAACAAGGUCUAAAUCACAUUCUAGCUUCCAAUAUUUGUUCUCCAUCCAAAACUCAGACAGCCACAGCCUGCAGGCCCCAGAUGAUGUGGUCAUCAUUUGUUUGCUCGCUGUCAAAUGUGGAACCUCCUGUUACUAAGAUGGACCAGCAUCACAAUUUACUUUGAGCUUGUACUGUGCCCCAUCAUGGAAAUCAAGAAAGUCAGUUAAUUAAACACGGGAGGAGCGUUGAAGUACGGAGUAUAAAUGGUGCCCUUGUCUAAGAACUUGACUUAACCCUUAGAAACUUGAUGCUAGACUUCACACAAAAAUAAGGGGUUGUCUCUUGCUCGCUAGCUGGGCCGUACCAUGAGCUGCUCGCAGCCAUGCUCACAGGGUUCGCCUCAGUGGUGCAUGACUACGCGCAGCUCCUUUCCGUCGCUCCUGCUGGUCGGCAUACCCAGCAUACCCUUAGUUGUGCCGCCUGUUUGUUGUUCGCCGAGAGAUUGAGGGAGGCGUUAGGGGCUUAAUGAAUGAGCAUGCAAGGAGGAGUAUUUUUAUUAACUACUAGUAUAUUAUAAGUUUGAAAUAUUGAUUGGAGGAGUAUUUUUAGUAACUGUAGUAUAUUAUAAGUUUGAAAUAUUGAUUGGAGGAGUAUUUUUAGUAACUAGUAUGUUGGAAGGUAUUGUAAAAGGGAAUGAGGUUGAUUGAGCGCCGUCAAAAUAUGAAAUUCAGUAUUUUUCUGUAGUCUUUCUGAAAUCUGCCAAAUCACCUUUCUGCUAUGAUAUAGAAAAACAAAAUGAUAUAUCACCUGUUACCGACCCUGUCUAGCCAUCUAACGUGCCAAGUAUAAGCCACCACAUAUAAAAUUCAGUAUUUUUCUGUAGUCUUUCUGAAAUCUGCCAAAUCACCUUUCUGCUUCUUCCAUGUUUUCAUAGUGUGUUUGUCAAUAACAGCAUCGGGUAUUGAGCUUUGUUCCCAUUGUCUGCAAUGAACGUUAUCAUCCAGCUAUUAUGUUAUAUUUCAUUUCUCGAUGACAGGUCAUUCAUGGCCGUUACUGAAUCUAGACCAUCAGUCCCAGCUUCCAUCCAAGUUCAGAUAAAUUUCUGAUCAGUUCUUGGGUAGUAGGGGCUCCAGUUCCACCCAAUUCCAGGUUAUCAUUAUUCAGGUUGCAUACCAUAGUGGAUGUUGAUCCUGGCUCUAGGACCUGCUCGAGAUGACCCUGGAACCAAGUAGCAAAGGUGUCUUGAUGGCAGAUUGGCAGCCACACCUCAGGGGGAGGAGGAGAAAAAUGGAAAAAUAUAGUAUAGUACUCCCUCCGAUCGAAAUUAAUUGAUGCAGCUCUAGUGCAACUUUGUACUGAAGUUGUACUAAAGCUGCCUCAAUUAAUUUGGAUCAGAGGGAGUACUACGUUUUUUUCUGCUUAAUCCAACCAAAAGAAGUGCCAAUCCUUAUAUCGGAGGUGCUUGCCCCUAACACAAGUAACUAAUCUUACCUUUCCUAACUUAUACAAAUAUAAAGAAAACAAACUUUGGGGAGAUGAACCUUUGUAGCUGCGGUGCAAAUGAAAUUCCCUUUAUUUUAUUUUCCAGAUUUAAUUGUAGUCAGAUACACACUCUAAAGCAAUAGCAGUAUGCUAGAACAGGCAUCUGGUAGACGUAGCAUCGAUAACUCAUCUUAUGCACAGUUGUUCCACCAUCUAUGGACCUAUUUACCCGAAUAUUGACAUACCAUACAUCCAAUGAUUUUUCAUCAUCUGUUUCAGUUUUGCAGUUGGGUUGGGUUAAUUUGAUUCGAUUGGUUCUUGGGGAUGUUAUGGCAUCUUGUUUUUUGUGUUGAUAUUCAUUCUGCUUCCCUUCUCACAAUCAUAUGAAAAUAAAAAAUACAACUGAUUAUGAAAGCAAAACAUCCCUCCUAUUUCUGACUACAUACACAUUCUUACUGAUUACUUGGCUUAUAUGUGGCUUUGCAGAUGCCUGUCUAUUCCAAAGGGGUAUCCGUCCUGAUGCCGGGACAGGACGUGCCGACGUUCAUCGCGCAUCCCGCGCCUACGCCCUGCCCCCCGGAGAGGGUCCGAUGGCCAUCGCACCAGCCCGCUCCGUUCGCCGGUUCCUCAUCAAAUCCAAGCUAGCGCGUGGCUGCCGGACCGAGCACCGAGCACCCUUCUGUCUGUCUCACCAUCCAAGGGAAGGGGUAAAAUGCCGGCGGAAUGGCGGCGGUCCACAGGAGCACACCUCUGGUUUCUUCUGUGGCCAUGUCACCUCCGGCGCCUUGGUGGAACUGAAGAGGUUCUCUCCAUGCGUUGUACAGUUUAGAUGUCUGUUGCGGAGCAAGUUUUGGUAGCUCCUGCUGCCUGCCUGUAUUAUGGCGGGAGAAGAGCGGCUAGCCUGGUGGAUCAAUGGAAUUGUUGCCGAUCCCGCUUGCUCGGCUAGUGGUGUUUAGAUGCUUUCGUUGUCGUUGGUUAUAGAGUCGGUCGUAGAUGUGCGUCAUGGAUGGAUGUACUUGUACACGUCUUGUGUAAUUUCGUUGCAUAAAUGACUUGAGCCUAUUGGAGCUGAGCCCCCAUCAGCCUCGUAUCGUAUCAUUGCGCAGAAAAGGAAAAAAAGCCUCGUAUUUGCCAAGCUCGUGGUCACAAAUUACAUAGAGUAGUAUUUAAGUUUUUUUAAUAAACUAGCACAAAUGCCCGUGCGUUGCAACGGAAGACAUUGUUACAUGUCUUAUGACUACAGCUAUUUUUCUCUUUUCUCGUCUCAGUUUGUCAAACGUACAUGUGUUACAAUUGAAUAAAAAAAAUUCUUUAGAUUCCUACUGUUUCCGUAUAUGCUUUUUGAGGAGAAAAAAUGGCCAGCUUGAUUUAUGAAGCAAGUUAAAUACCUCAACAGGUUAUUAACACCUUUUAUUAUGCUCACCAAUGUUUCAUAUAUUUUCAUUUUAAUUACUCACUCCGUUUUUAAAUUUGUGCGCCAUAUAUUUAAAUUUGUGCGUGAAAUAACAGCCCUUAAAAGCGCCCCUCACAGUUCUGUGUUUUACUAAUGUAAAAAAUAUGCUCAAUAGAGAAAAUAACAAAAUAAGCUUAUGUGGGAUCGAAUCGAUGACUAUGGGUUAAAAGCGUUGAGCUCUAGCCAUUUGAACUACUAAUAUGCUAAUGGUAAAUUUGUAGUCCGCUGGUUAAUAACCAUAGUAAAGCGUAGCCACUUUACAAAGGAAAAACGAAACGUUUGGUUAAUUACACUUUAUUUAUUUAUUUAAUUAUUCUUAUUUGUUUUUUUUCCUUCGUAGGUUUUAUUGGUUCUUUAUUACACUUUAUUUUUUGUAUGUUUCUUAGUUUUGUUGGUUUUUCUUGUUUUUGCACUGGUAUUCCUCGGGUUAAUCACUGAAUUUUUUAUUUUUACCGGUUUUGUGUUUCUUUGUCAGUUUUUAUUUAUUUCCUUUCUUCUUAUUUAUCUUCAGUUUUUAUUUCGUACAUUUUUGGUUUUCAAUGAUUUUUUUUUCCUUAUUACUUUAUUUUUUCUCUGUUUUCACUAUUUUUUAUUAUUGCUAUGUUUAUCAUUUGAAAACAUAAUUCAAUAAACCAAGGAAGAGACAAUCAACAUAUAUAUAGAAGCAUCUCAAGAAAAAGAUAUGUCCACCAAUAAAUAAUUGAAUCUCAUUUGUGAAAUACUGACAGCAAAUGUAGAAUACUGAUAGUUGGCACUUCAUAUGACAAUGAGAAAAUAAACCACUCCUAUAAACUCUUUUGUUCUCGUUAUUAUUCACAUGCUUAGCUAAUGUUCAGGUUUUUAGGAUAAAUCAUAAAUAACCAUAACCAUGAUAACAGUCAAGCUUAUCGGGUUUAUUCCGCCUACCCUAUGAGAUAAAGGCAAAAAAAUGGAACAUGUUCUGUGGAUCUGUGCACAUCAAACUUUGCAAUGUGUGGUACAUAAAGGACAAUUUAGAAUAUACAUAUAUCCUGAUACCUAAUUGUUACUUGCUUUCUCAUCUCCCAUGUGCACUCUACAUAACAUAUGCAUACAUUACAGGCUUCAAGCGUUCAUGAAUUUCUUCAGCAAAUUUAACAUUAUCACAGAGUAAGUCAAACUUGUGACCCAGCAUGCUAAGGGAAACAAAUUCUAAUAGCAAACAGUGAAACUCCCCAAAACUGUCAGAUUGCUGAAAUAUAUCUCUAUUUCCUGUGCUGGUUAAUCUUCGGAUUCUGACUCACCCUUGCAUUCCUCGCAUAGACAGGUCAUAUCCUCCUUUAAUAUUCAAGUCUAAUAAGAGCAGGUCCUCAAUUUUCAGGGUGCAUUUGGCAUUCUUCGCCUCCUGACUUCGUACACGGUAGAGCUGAAAAUCCAAAUUAUUAUCAUGAAGAUUGUCAUCAGAUAUAGCUUUCACCGGCUGUUCAGUGCUUUCUUCAUACACAUGUGUUCCAUUGUCUGACAAGCCCGGAAGGGCUAGGUUAAAGUCUGUAAGCUGUGAUCUAGCAUUUUCUAGGCCAGCAGAUCCAUUUGCAUCAAAGGAAAUGUUUUCUUGAGCUUUCUCUAGUAUUUCCUUUAAAUAUCUCACUUGAGCCUCUAUUCGCAUCUGCAGCUUCUUCUGCACCUGAUCACAGAAAUAAGCAUUUUUUUAGGCUGAUACAAGCAUUUUUAACCUAUAUGGUACAGAAUUUGGUAGUAUAAGCAGUGAUGCACAACUUUUCUAACCUCAAGUUGUUCACACAAUUCUCUUUGGACCUGGAUUUGAUACCUGAGGGUGUCCUCAAGCGGCAUUUAUCUGAUUCAUAUAAGAAAUGUUUUGAAAAUGGUUAGUUAAAUCAUCAUACAGUCUCAACUGAUGAAAAAGGCACAUAGAAGACAUAUGACAGUAAGUAAUCAGUAGGAUUCCCUCUUUGUGACUCUAUAUAAGGAACUUUGCAUAUAUACUUAUGGAAGGGCAAAAUUAAUCACAACCAAGAAAAGCUAGUGAUUGCUACUAACUUGUACAACUACUAAAGAUCUCACUUUUCAGUUAUACAUGAGUAUCUCUAAUACCAAUGCUGGUUUAAGUUCUGUCCUGCAGGCAAAAACAAUAGUGCUUGAUUUCUAUAUAUGCCUGGUGAUCAUUGAGGAUUUAGCUCUAGCACAUGAUGCCUUAGCGCAUGGUUAGUCUCAAAUUUAAGUUGACAGCUUGAUUGCCCAACACAAAACAAAGAACCGUACUGCACUGUCGACGGCAAAAAUUAGUCGACCUUUUUCUUUAAAAUUAUGCUUUGAACAGUACUACAAAAUCAUUGGAGGGACAGGAAAACAGAGUAUGUAGUACUCAUCUAAUCCCUUAAGUGUUCAGAUUCAUAAGUAAAUCGCCUUAGUUCAGUCCAGGGAAAACUUACAAGAUAAUUCAACAUCAUUUGUCUUUUUACGUAGACACAAUUUAGUAGAUUAAUUGCCUUCAGUAUUUUGCGUCAAACAAUGUUAAGCAGUAAUAACGUAGUAGUAUAAGCAUCAUGCAACCAGAAUCAAAUGGAGAACAGAUGAGAAGGAAAUAGAAACUCACCAGUCGAGUCCAUGUCGUAAACCUUGACAUCCAUGCGUUCAACCGCUUCGCCAGAUGAUCAUACCUCCCACUUCCAAAUCGAUACACCAAACCAUCAGCUACCGGCGACAUGAUUUACUGUAAUUUUUGAGUAAGCAACAGAGAAGAAGGGGAUCAAAUUCUCAGCACGACGGCGGCCUUGGCCUUCUUCCCAGAGGAAGACGCCGAGACGGCGUCCGCGAUGGCGGCCGAGUCCACCUGGGGCGCGCGCCAUCGGAAGGGCAGGAGCAGGAGCAGGAACAGGAGCAUCGGCUGGAGCACGGUGAGGAUCCGACGCAGCGCGAGCAGCGACAGCAGCGCGCUGAUCCUGCCCGCCGCGUCCGCCGCCUGCAUGCUCCCGGCCAUCCCUCUGCUCUGCCCCUCCUCCGUUAGGUCCAGGAGCGCUGGCGAGGCUGGCGAGGUCAACGGGGUGAGGCGACGCUGGCGAUAUGGAUCCCCGAUCCAGAUCGGGUCGGCGAGGCGGCGACGCGAUGCAGGGUCCAGCGCGGGAUGAUGACUGCUCUUGUGGCCGGAUCUGGCGAAGAACGACGAUGAGCGGCGGAGGUCCAUGGCCAUGGCGGUCCUGCGGAACAGGGGAAGAGAGACCUCAGAUGAGAGAGAGGGAACGGGAGAAAGGAGAAGGAAGGCGCGGCGCGGGCUGCCAUGGUCGGGAUCCGGGCGGAGGAGCUGUCGGUGCUCCGGCGGCGGCAGAGCUCCAAUGAACGCCCACCGGAGGCGGUAUCGGGUGUGCGGCUUCGGGAGGAAGGAGAAGGAGCUCAGGGGCUGGCGGCGGCGGCGGAGGGCUUUUUUACAAAAAAACAAAACGUUUUCUUCCACUUACUAUAGGAUUGCGGGUUGAUUUCAAUAAGCCUCAGGGGCUUUUUUUGCAGAAAAACCAUGACGGACGACAGAAGUGCUGCGCGCUUUAUUAUUAGGGGAGAUACAUGGUCUACAUAUCUCUACAAUUAAAGGGGGAUCUGCCGUCGUGAUAGUUCGACCUUCCUUCCCCGUCGUACGAGUUCCCCUCCCACCUAUCGAUCCCCCGACGCGAUUGCAUCGUUAACUUCUUUUUUGUUUACCGCGACCCACCCACGAUCCCGCACGUCCUCUGUGAAUCCACCCCACAACCGCACACCCGCACGCGUCCCGGAUCCCGCCCCCGCUCCAUCGCGCCCAUGCGCCGUCACCUCUCUUGCGCCACCGCGCCCGCUCCCGGCCAUCACGCCCGUACGCCGCCACCUCUCCCGCACCACUACGCCCUAGCCCUGCUCGACACUCCCGUAUCCGCCCCCGCCGCCCCGCCCCGUCGCUCAUCCCUCGUCGUCCGCCACGUCGCUGAGCCCCCGCCGGGCCGUCCCGCCGCUCAUCCCUUACCGGCCGCCCCGUCACUCCUCCUCCGCUCGUGCCACCGUACUCGCGCCGCAUCAUCGCUUUCGUGCUCAUUCCAUGUAAUGCCCCAAGUUUAACCUUGUCAUAUUUGGAACCUUCCANNNNNNNNNNNNNNNNNNNNNNNNNNNNNNNNNNNNNNNNNNNNNNNNNNNNNNNNNNNNNNNNNNNNNNNNNNNNNNNNNNNNNNNNNNNNNNNNNNNNNNNNNNNNNNNNNNNNNNNNNNNNNNNNNNNNNNNNNNNNNNNNNNNNNNNNNNNNNNNNNNNNNNNNNNNNNNNNNNNNNNNNNNNNNNNNNNNNNNNNNNNNNNNNNNNNNNNNNNNNNNNNNNNNNNNNNNNNNNNNNNNNNNNNNNNNNNNNNNNNNNNNNNNNNNNNNNNNNNNNNNNNNNNNNNNNNNNNNNNNNNNNNNNNNNNNNNNNNNNNNNNNNNNNNNNNNNNNNNNNNNNNNNNNNNNNNNNNNNNNNNNNNNNNNNNNNNNNNNNNNNNNNNNNNNNNNNNNNNNNNNNNNNNNNNNNNNNNNNNNAAGUGGUGUGCAAAGCUUGGGUUUAACUAUGUAGUUUUUCAAACUAGAGUUCAAAGGAAGCCCCCUUCUUCCUUAUUUUCUUGAGCUCAAGAUUUACUUGCUCUGAACCUGAUUUUCAAAUGUAGAUCUAUUAGAGCAUUUUCUUGUGGAUGUGGCGAUGUGUCUAGGCCAUUUUAAAAAAGCUUUGCUUAAAUGGGGUUNUGGGUUCGAGUCCCAGAGGCGCCCUUUUGCUAUUUCCUUGUUUUUGUGGUGGAGUAUCUUGACAGGAGUUGAUACCCUGCAUGUUUCCCCUUCCCUGUCGAAGUGGAGCGGCUAGCCCAGUGGUGGGGUGUUGGUUGUGCAUCAGUUAGGUCUUGGGUUCGAUUCCAAGCACCCCCUCCCCCUUUUAAUUUUAUUUUUCCUUUUGCUGUUUUCAAGUAUGCUUGCAAUGUUCAUUGCUUGGGCAGCAAGCUAGUGCUCCCUUUUAGCUAGUGUGUGUGUAUGUGAGUAUAAACAUGUGUAUUUAUGUGUGAGGGCAAGUUCUUGCAUGGUGUGUGUGUAGUUGAAGCAUGUGUAGGUGGGUGUUGUGUGUAUGUGUGCAUGGGAGCAUAUGCACUAGUGUGUGCAUGUGUGUUUGUGUGUGGGUUACCCCCACAUAUUUGUGCAAGUGUGCACCAAGACAUGUAUGUGUGUGUGUGUGUGUGUGUGUGCAAGUGCUUGUGCAUGCACUUGUGUGUGUAGUGGUAGUGUAUGUGUGUAAUGCCCCAAGUGUAGGACUUUCCCUUCUUGUAACCUUCCAUGUGGGGCCACCUUGUCAGAGAUCUUGAUGAUAUCUUUUGUGCCAUGAAUUCAUGUGUGUUCCCUAGUGCUUACUUCCCUUGCAUGCAUGAAUUACAUAUCAUUCCUUGCCAUACUUAUGAUUGCAUGCCAUGAUCAUGUUGCAUUUGAGUUUAAUAGGAGUAGUGUUGUGGUGUUGUGAGUGCAUGUGAUCUUGCUAGGAUUAAGUGGUGGUUUUGCACUACCUUGUGAUGCAUGUGAUAAUGGUGUGUGUGAUGUAGGAGUGAGUGCUAGUCUUUUAAAGCUCUUGCCUUUUAAACUCCUUUUCCCUCCUAUUUUUAUUCUUGUCAAAAUUCCUUCUUCCCAAAGAUGAUUCUAAAAUGUCUAGUGGUUAGAUAAAAUGUGCUUAUGAGGGAGUGCAAUUUUUCUGAUUUGAAUCUUUGAUUUAAGUGGUGCAAAUAAACUCAAAACAGUAGCUUAAUUACUGUUUUGCAUUUAUUUCAAACAUCUCCAAAUAUUGCUUGUCUAUUUUUCCCUAUUGGGCCAUUAUUUCUUAGGUCUAGCGGGAUUUUCCUUUUAUUUUUUAACCCAGUAGUUAUUUUGGGUAAUAUAUUUUUCUUUCCUUCCCUGGGUGCAUUUGUUUCUCUGUUCACCUAAUUGGAUAACUUCCUGGGUAUCUAAUUCUUUCCCUGGCCCAUUAAGCCUUCUCCCGUGCUGGCCCAGUUGGACUCCACCCCUGGCGACAGAGCCCACUGGCGAGCGUUUCCUUCUUCCUCCCGACGUCACUCCUGUACGACGUGCGCUCCACCUCUCGAUCACUCUCUCCUUGAUCCAGCGGCUCGAGCUCGCCUCCCGAGACGUUAAAGAGGAGCCCGGGACCCCCUCCUCCGCCCUAGGGUUCCCUCUCCGUUUUCCCCCAGCGCCGCCAGUGUCCUCCUGCCCUCGUUCUUCCCUGGUAAGUUUCAGAGAGGAAGCAGAGAGAGAGAGAGAGUGCAACGCCUCCUUCGUCAACCCGCCGAUCCGUCGUCUCCGGCACCGGCCGCCAUGGGAGUCUCCUUCCCUGCUUCGGUCUACGUCGGAGGAGCUUCUUCGGCGUCCUCCUCCCCGUUCGGCGCCCCAUCUUCUCCCAAGGUGAGGCCGCGUCCUCCCCGUCCUUCCUCCGCCGCGGACCGGCUCGGUCCCGUCGGGCGCAUGCUUCCUCUGUUAGUAGCAGCAGCAGGUUAGAGGAGCAGUAGCGGCUGUUCUGUGCCGAGUUUGUGCGUGCGUUGUCGAGAGGAGAGGCAAGGCGUAGUGGUGUAGCAGGGUGUUGGUAGCAGUUCGACGCGUAGUAGCAGCAGCAGCAGCCGGCAGUAGGCGCUAGCAGUAGCAGCAGCAGCUAGCCGGUGCAACUUAUCAGCUGCAGCGGCAGAGCACACUGCUGCGUUCCGGGCAGCCAAAGGAGGGACCUUUUCCCGUGCUCAGGGUGGGAAUGGAUCCCCUGAGAGUCCCGCGGGCCCCGCCGAUGGUUUCCCCUGCCGGUGGUGGCCGGGAGUGGCGCCGCCAGCGUCCUCGGGUCCGGCCGCCGGCAGAGCUCAUCUCGUGAGUGGAGUGGGUUUUACUUUUUACCUUCUCGUCUUAGCCAGUCUCCGGUCCGUAGCCCGAUGGUAGUGUUGCUCUGUCUUGUGCUUGCGCCUGAUGAGAGGUCCAGGGUUCGAGUCCCCCCCUCGGCGCCCUUUUGAUAUUUUGUUUUGAUUUAUGUUGCGGGUAGAUUACCUUGCCUUUUUCCCUUCUCCUGUUAACAUCAGUAACAGCAGCGCAGUGGUAGAUGUGUGUUUGUGUUAUCGUCAGGUGCAGGGUUCGAAUCCCAUGCGUUGCACCCCCCUUUUUAUCUUGCCUGUUUCCUUUCUGAUUUGCAGUAGGGCAGCACAACAGAGUUUAACCUCUGUUUGGGUCCUUCUCUGUCGAGCCCCAUGGGCAUAGCAGAGUGGGUGGGUGCAGUAGAGAGCAUCAGCAGGUUCAGGGUUCAAAUCCUGACCCCUCUUGCUAUUGUGUUCUUUCCCUGUUGUUUUUUUUCUUCUGCUACAUUUUUUUUAAAACACCCUUCUUACUAUUGCCGAUCUUGUGCCUACCAAAGGUGGCCAUGGAAUUAUGUUUUUUUUUCCUUGCUGUUAUAGUUGUGCUAGGUGAUGUAGUGUGUGUGGUUGUGCUUGUGAGAGAUGUGCAUGUGAGUGUGUUUUCCUUGUGCUUGGAGUGGGCUCUUGCACCAUGUGGGGCUAGUAGAUUGUGAUGUGUGUGCAUUAGCUUGUGGUAGCUCUAGUAUAGAUAUGUGUGUGAGAGCCUCACCCAUGGCAAGGCAUGAAGAGCAUUGAUGUGCUCAUGAGUAGUAGUGUGUGGUGGUGUUGGAUUCAUUUAGGGAGUGUAGCUAUUGUAUGCUCUAACUAGUUCUAGUAGGACUAGAUUUGUGUCAUGCUAGAUAUGUGGGUGGUGUGGACCUCCCCACCUUUACAAGUGGUGCACCUCCUCAUGUUUAAUAUGAGAGAGGGCAUAUUGUGUGUGUGGGGUUGGCUCAUGUGUGUUGGUGUUGUUGAUGUGCAUGACACAAACAUGGGGUUCAAACCCCCAUGUCACUUUGUCAUUGUGCACAUGAAACCCUCCUAUGUAUUGUCAUCUUAGAAGAAUACCUUAUGGAUUUGCAUUUUUAUUUUGUUGAAAGUUUGGGCUUUGUUUCCAUGAUAUAGAUGGAGCCCAAAGGCAUGGAUCUUGGUGUGUUAGUUGUAGGGGUUUGCGCUCAAUACCAUAGUGGUGUCAAACACCUCUUGGGAACUUGUGUGUGCAAACUAUGCCUAGACAAAGUGGGCAUGUGGUUGGGAAAUUCCAGAUUUUUGAACUCUGAAAAUUUCACUAAGUCUGGAAUGCUGAAAACAUUUUCUUCCCCUGUAGAUAAGGUUUUUCUGGUCAUUAUGUUGAGAACUGGACUUAGUUCAGUGCUAGUCUUUUGAACCUGGGGUGUUUGUGAAGCUUCCUGUCAAUUUUCAAGUCAUUUGGAGUCCAGUAGCUUGUGUUUUGAUUGCUGUAAAAAAGCUUCAGAACAGAAACAGAAACUCAGGUGCAGGAAUUUUCACUAAGUCCCUGAGAACUGAUGGUUUUGGGAAAGUUUGUGGCCUUGUAUCUUCUAGAGUUUAAUUCCUUUUGCUGUGAUUCUUGCUGGAGCUUGUAGUGUUCUUGGUUGGAAACAGCCACAUAUAUUAUUUGUCGUAUUUGAAGACCUGUAGCUAUGUUGCAUGUGGCUCACAAACAGCUAAGAUGCAGAAACUGGCAGAUUGCGUAGUUUUGACAUUUUGUUCAAAGUUUGUGUUUAAUUGUUGUUGGGGUGUUCUACCUUGCUCCAUUUCAUUCAUGUUGGGUUAAUAUAUGUCUUGGAAACCUGGGAACACCAGAUUUGUGCCAAUUGUGUGUGUGGUGAUGAAUCUUUCACGUAGGGCUUCAUAUCGUGUUUCGUUGAUUCCCGUUGAUCCGUAGCUCCGUUUGCAAAGUUCUUUACAUGGUUUUGCACCGUUUUUACGAGCUGCAUCUGUUAAUAUCAUUCCCAGGCAUGUCCAAAUAGUUUAGUGCAAAGUUAUGUCCAGGAACUUGUUGUAGUUUAUCCUGCUUGUGCUAGUGUUAGAAAUAGUGGUGCAUGCUCAACUUUCAUCUCAUGCAUCAUGUGAUUGUUGCAUUUUGUGGUGCUGCUGUUCAUUGGCUGUUAUUUCUUGUGUUGGGUAGCACCGGGAGCGGAGAACGAAUACGUGGAGUCAGGAGAGUACGUGCAGGACGAUCCAGAACCAUUCCAAGCUGAGGAUAUCACAGGCAAGAUGACAUGACCUUGAUCCCAUAUCUAGACUUGUUAUGUUAGUUUUGAUUCCACGUCAUAUUGCUCGCUGCCUACCACUGAAAAUAUAUUGCCUCUUCAUAUGCCAUGAGCCUAAACACUUUACUCUUUCCUAGCAAACUUGCCUGGCUAGGUAGGCUUGCUCAGCUACUAAUGUUAGCAUUGUUAGUUGCAGGUGUUUAUAACUCAUGAGUUGCCAUGAGCUUGAUAUCAUUAUAUUAAAUUUCUGUUAUUUAAUUAAUGUAUCUAUAUAUUUGGUAAAUGACGGGAGGCCUAGCCUUUUGCCGGGUGUCUUGUUCCGUUAUUGCCGCCUUAGUUACCGGUUACCGGUGUUUGAUUCCAUAAUGAUCGCUCCUAACACGUUCGGGGUUGUUAUGGGGACCCCCUUGAUAAAUCGCGUAGUGUUAAGGCUUGUCCGGCAGGACCCAACUUUGGUUUUAAUCUGCUAAUCACAUAAUAAUCUGCAUAGGGAAUAGCUACCCCGAGGAAUUUACUCAACAACCCGGGCCAGUGCUCCCCAUGAGUGUUGGCCCCACCUGAGCGAUGUCCGGGGCCCCACUGGUCACCCACAGGUUUAGCCAUCCGGACGUCUAGCUCAUCUGUCGUGUCCUGAGACUGAGAUACGCGGCUCUUAUCAGGGUCGUCGACACGACGGGAGGUCCUGCUAGCCUUGUCUUGCCUUAGCGGUAUAUCUUGCGUAUAGGAAUCCCGGUGAAGCUGUGGUUUUCCCCAGAGUUGAGGUUUUCCUCUAAGGAAUCCGACGAGAUCACGAGAUUCGUGAUAGAGGAUGCCUUUGCGGCCUGUGUUCGUUUGUGAUGGACUAGUUGGAGCACCCCUGCAGGGUUUAAUCUUUCGGAAAGCCGUGCCCGCGGUUAUGUGGCAACUUGGAAUAUCUUGCUAACAUCCGGUAUUAGAAAACUUAAACAUAAACUAAUAAAAUAUGCCAACUGUGUGUGUAACCGUGACUGUCCCUUCGAAGUCCUCUCUUCGAACGGGAACACGGUGGGGUUAUGAAUGUCGUAGGUAGGGGUUCAGGAUCACUUACUGAUCAAGCAUUCUUGUUCGUUAGCGUAGACCACGUUUACUUCCUUCUCGCGUAAGUUAGCCACUUAUUCAAUCAUAGGUUGCAGCAGCCUGAAACACUUCUUACCUUCCUUACCCAUCAACAUGACUAGUUCUGGCACCAAGGUCUUAGAUUGCUGAGUCCCCGUGGCUCACGGAUUCCUCCGAAACUUCCAGCAGGUACAGGUACCCCAGAGACCGAUGGUCCCGAUGGCAUCCAGCUAGCGUGGCAGUACGACGAGGAGACAGACCGUCUUUACGUGAACUAUCCAGAGGACUGAGCCAUGGUCGUGAUCGUGGGCCCGCAGCCGGUAGCAUAGCAUUUCCCUUGUUUUGUAGUCCGUACCGGAACUACCUUGUUUGUAUCUGCGUUGUACUCUGUAUUAUUAAUAAGAAGACAGUUGAAUCCCAGAUUGUCUACUAUAUUUAUUAUUAUGUGCUAUGUUUACUUGCUUGCAAAACACUUAGAUGCGCUUCUUUCCUAUUCGGGGGCCUCGACUCCCAGAUCGGAAAGGACCGCAUCUUGGUCGUUACAAUGUGUGUGUGUGUGUGUCACACACACAUGAGCAAGUGUGUUCAUGGUGGCCUUAGUACACCAUGGGGGUUCUUUGAGCACCUAGGGAUAAGUGGGUGAGUGUCAUGUGGUAGUUUUGUGUGUGUAUGCAUGUGUGUAUGUGGUCAUGCAUGUGUGUGUGGGCAUGGGUGCAUCUAUGCACUUGUGCAUGAGGGCUAACCCCUCAUGCUUGCCACCAUGGUGUGUNNNNNNNNNNNNNNNNNNNNNNNNNNNNNNNNNNNNNNNNNNNNNNNNNNNNNNNNNNNNNNNNNNNNNNNNNNNNNNNNNNNNNNNNNNNNNNNNNNNNNNNNNNNNNNNNNNNNNNNNNNNNNNNNNNNNNNNNNNNNNNNNNNNNNNNNNNNNNNNNNNNNNNNNNNNNNNNNNNNNNNNNNNNNNNNNNNNNNNNNNNNNNNNNNNNNNNNNNNNNNNNNNNNNNNNNNNNNNNNNNNNNNNNNNNNNNNNNNNNNNNNNNNNNNNNNNNNNNNNNNNNNNNNNNNNNNNNNNNNNNNNNNNNNNNNNNNNNNNNNNNNNNNNNNNNNNNNNNNNNNNNNNNNNNNNNNNNNNNNNNNNNNNNNNNNNNNNNNNNNNNNNNNNNNNNNNNNNNNNNNNNNNNNNNNNNNNNNNNNNNNNNNNNNNNNNNNNNUGUAGUUUUUCGAGCUAGUUUUGUGCCUACUUGUUCCAUGCAAGUACCCAUGUAUUAUAUAUGGAUUUGGGGUAAAAUCAUCCCAGGAAUCCACUGGUGGAAUCGGAUUUUACUUUGGAGAAACUUCAUAAACUGUCAUUUUUCUGUCUUGAUGUUAUGUUUAGAGCUUGAUGCCAUGUGGUGUGUUGGGCCUAUGAGGAUGAAUCCUUGAUGUGGCAGUAGUGGGUGAACCCCUCUACAACAUGGAGUCUUUUGUUUUAUACUUAGUAGGUUGUAUGAACUUGUUGUGCCUUGUCAAAGUUGACACUUGGCUGAAAUUGUCAGCUUUGUGAAAAUCUGUGAUUUUCACCAAGUCUGAGAAACUAUUGUUAUUUUCUUCCCUUGUUGAUGUGGUUGCACAAGCUCAUGUGUUGGGAAUCACCAUGCAACAAACUAAGGUUUGUGAGCUUUUGGGUUUGUCUAGCCCUCUCUUAAAUUUCAUGCACUUUCACUUCCUGUAGUUAUCAUUUUGGAGGCUGCCAAAAUGCUUCAGAGCAUAAGCAGCUGGUGAAAAUCUGAGAUUUUCACUAAGUCCAAGAAAUCUGUUAUUUUUGUCCAAGUUUGUGUCCAUAGAUCUUCUUAUGUGUGAUGCCUUUGCAGUAGCUUCUUGCUCAGGCUUGUAGAGCUUUUGAAUGGCUUUUGCCACAUAUCUUGUUUGGCUCAUUUGGGUGGCUGUAGGUACUUUGAAUGUUGUAGGCAAACUGCUAUGAUGCUGUUUAGGUCAGAUUGCAUGUUUUAGUUGUUUUGAAGCCUGUGUGAGUAUUGUUGGUGGUGUGGUGAGUUUCUUUGCACCACUCCGCUUAUAUUUGUUUGUUUGAUCAUGUGGCAACCUGGGAACACCAGAAGAGUGUCAUUGUAGUGUGCUUGUGUUUGAUUUGACCCAUAGGACUCCGUAUCUUGUUUCAUAGUUUCCGGUUGAUUUGUCACUCCGUUCUCAACGUUCUUUAUAUGUUUUUUGCAUCGUUUUCUCGUGAUGCACCUGUUCAUGCCAUCAACAUGCAUGUCAAGAUAGCUUAGUGUGAAGUUAUGUCCAGAAGUUUAUCUUCUCAUCUCAUGCAUAUGCAAGUGACUAGAAUAGUGAGGCAUGCUUCCUUCUCAUCUCAUGCAUCACAUUGUUUGUUGCAUCAUGUUGUGUUCGAGUUCAUUGGCUGUUAUUUUUAUCUUGGGUAGCACCGGGAUCGGAGAGCGAGUACGUGGAUUCUGGGGAGUACGUGCAGGACGAUCAAGAGCAGUUCCAAGCUAAAGACAUCACAGGCAAGAUGACCGUGACCUUGAUACCGUAUCUAGCUUUGUUAUGCUUAGAAUCAUGUUUCCUUCGAUAUAUGCUCGCUGCCUACCACUUGUUAAAAUGCCUCCUAUUAAUGCCAUGAAACCCAAAACACCUUUCCCUCCUAGCUAAUGUUGUUUGGCUAAGUAGGCUUGCUCAGCUUCUAAUGAUUAGCUUUGUUAGUUGCAGGUGCCAGCUGUCUCAUGUGAUAACAUGAGUAUUUUUAUAUCAUUAUGAUUAAUCUGCUAUUUAAUUAAUGCACCUAUAUACUUGGUAAAUGACGGAAGGCCUAGCCUUUUGCCAGGUGACUUGUUCCGUUGUUGCCACCUUAGUUUCGGCUACCGGUGUUUGAUUCCAUAACUGAUCGCUCCUAACACGUUCGGGGUUGUUAUGGGGACCCCCUUGAUAAAUCGUGUAGUGUUAAGGCUUGUCCGGCAGGACCCAACAUUGGUUUUAAUUUUAUAAUCACCUACUAAUAAUUUGCAUAGGGAAUAGUUACCCCGAGGAUUUAUUCAACAACCCGGGCCAAUGCUCCUCAUGAGUGUUGGUCCAAACCAGAGCAUCGUGCGGGGCCAACCCGGGGCAACUGAGGAGAUUUCUAUCAGGCCACCGUACGCUUCGCUUAUCCGGCAUGUCCUGAGACUGAGAUACGCGGCUCUUAUUGGGGUCGUCGACACGUCGGGAGGUCCUGCUAGAUUUGUCUUACCUUAGCGAUAUAUCUUGGGUAUAGGAAUCCAGGUGAAACUUUCGGUCUCCCCAAAGUUGAGGUUUUCCUCUAAGGAAUCCGACGAGAUCACGAGAUUCGUGAUAGAGGAUUACUUUUCGGCCCGUGACCGUUUGUGAUGGACUAGUUGGAGCACCCCUGCAGGGUUUAAUCUUUCGGAAAGCCGUGCCCGCGGUUAUGUGGCAAGCAUGGAUAAUUUGUUAACAUCCGGUUCUAGAUAACUUGAACUAACUCUAAUAAAACUGCCAGCUGUGUGCGUAACCGUGACUGUCUCCUUCGAAGACCUCUCUUCGAUCGGGAACACGGUGGGGUUAUGUUUGACGUAAGUAGGUGUUCAUGAUCACUUAGUGAUCACCUAGACUUCGACCGCUCGCGUAGACCACCAUAUCAAUAACUCUGAUCUUCGUAAGUUAGCCACCAUAUAUGCUUAGGAUGCUGCAACCUAUACACUGAACCUUCCUCACCUAAUAACUUGACUAGUUUCGGUACCAAGGUCAUCCGAUUGCUGAGUCCCCAUGGCUCACAGUUUACUACAACACCCCAACAGGUACAUGUACGCCCGACGCAGGAGAUCCAGAUGGCACGCAGUUGGCGUGGCAGUACGAUGAGGAGAACGACCGUCUGUACAUGAACUAUCCGGAAGACUGAGGCCGUGGUCGUGAUUGUGGGCGAGCAUGCAGGAUAUCAUAGUCUUUUCCUUGUUUCAUGUAGCCCGUAUUGGGACUAUCUUGUCUGAAUAAUUGUGUGGAUGUAACCUUAUAUUACUAUGUCAGAUGGCAAAUGUAUGCCCUAUUUGUCAAUCUUAAUUUAUGUAUUUUCUAUGAUUAUCUCGCUUGCAAUAUGCUUAGAUGAGCCUCUUUCCCU
rnacentral:lncRNA from 1 species